rnacentral:lncRNA from 1 species
CGACUUAGAGGCAUAACUGCAUUGAAAGCAAUGUCGCAAGUUAGGCAGUCUUCACAACAUCCCAUGUAAUAUAAAUAAUAAAAGGGGAAGGAACAUAGUUGGAUUACACUCGCCAAGUCAAACAAAGUACAUAAAUAGCAUUACAUCAUCCAAUCACUCAAGGCCCGUCUACGGUGCCAAAAUAAAAGAUCAACCCAACAUGCGACACAGUCCCGAUCGCCCCAACUGGGCACCACUACUGAUCAUCAGGGAAAGACACAUAGUAACGGCGUGAGUCCUCGUCGAACUCCCACUUGAGCUCAAGCGCGUCAUCUGGAACGGAGUCGUCUGGCCCUGCAUCUGGUUUGGAAGUAAUCUGUGAGUCACAGGGACUCAGCAAUCUCGCACCCUUGCGAUCAAGACUAUUUAAGCUUAUAGGUAAGGCAAGGUAAUAUGUGGAGCUGCAGCAAGCGACUAGCAUAUAUGGUGGCUAACCUGUUCGCAAAAGAGAGCGAGAAGAGAAGGCAAUGCACGAUCGAAUAACUAGAGAACAACCUGCGGCAAGCAUUACUCCAACACCAUGUUCACUUCCCGGACUCCGCCGAGAAGAGACCAUCACGGUAACUCACACAGUUGAUUCAUUUUAAUUAAGUUAAGGUUCAAGUUAUCUAUAACCAGACAUUAACAAAUUCCCAUCUGCCCAUAACCGCGGGCACGACUUUCGAAAGUUCAAAUCCCUGCAGGGGAGUCCCAACUUAGCCCAUGACAAGCUCUCACGGUCAACGAAGGAUAUACCUUCUCCCGAGACAUUCCGAUCAGACUCGGUAUCUCGGUUCUACAAAACACUUCGACAAGUUAAAACAAAUCCAGCAACACCGCCCGAAUGUGCCGACAAAUCCCGAUAGGAGCUACACAUAUCUCGUUCUCAGGGCACACUCGGAUAAGCAAUCCGUACAACUAAAACCAGCCCUCGAGUUUCCCCGAGGUGGCGCUGCAAGGGGCUCUAGGUUGGACCAACACUCAGAGGAGCACUGGCCCGGGGGUUUAAAUAACAUGACCCUUGGGCUCCAGAAACCCAAGGGAAAAAGAGGCUAGGUGGCAAAUGGUAAAACCAAGGUUGGGCAUUGCUGGAAAAGCUUUAUUCAAGGCGAACUGUCAAGGGGUUCCCAUUAUCACCCAACCGCGUAAGGAACGCAAAAUCCAGGAACAUAACACCGAUAUGACGGAAACUAGGGCGGCAAGAGUGGAACAAAACACUAGGCGAGAGGCCGAGCCUUCGACCCUUUACCAAGUAUAUAGAUGCAUUAAGAUAGCAAGAUAAUAUAAUGAUAUCCCAACAAGAAAAUAAUGUUCCAACAAGGAACGGUCUCCAAUCUUCACCUGCAACUAGCAACGCUAUAAAAGGGGCUGAGCAAAGGAGUAACAUAGCCAAUCAACGGUUUGCUAGGACAUGAUGGGUUAGAGGUUUGACAAGGCAAUUUGGGAGGCAUGAUAAGCAAGUGGUAGGCAUUGUAGCAUAGGCAUAGCAAAAGAGCGAGCAUCUAGCAAAGCAAAGAUAGAAGUGAUUUCGAGGGUAUGAUCAUCUUGCCUGCAAAGUUGUCAGACUUGACUGGAUCCUCGAAAGCAAACUCAACGGGCUCCUCAUUAGCGAACUCGUCUCCCGGUUCUACCCAAACAAGACAAACAAGCAAAAGGACACAAUCAACCACGUGCAAAGCUCAAACAACAUGAUGCAAACAUGGUAUGCUAUGCGGGAUGCGAUAUGUGAUGCAUAUGCAAGAUUUGACAAGGAAUGAAUGAACCUGGCCUCAACAUGGAAAUCCAAGUGUGCCACUGGAAAGGUGAGAUGAUUUCGCUUGAAAACAAUAUAAAGAACGCCGGAAUCGGAGACACGGUUUGGAAAUGGCAAGCAAUUCAAAUGUGGCACCGGUCUGCAAUAUACAGCAAGUAGCCAUCUAAAUGCAACAAGCUAAACAUGCUACAGCACCCAAACAUGGCAACAAAAUACAUGGCAGGGAUCCAUUCAUGAAGCUUAACAAAAGAUGAACACUGAGCUACGGCCAAUUCAUCCAUUAACAGGUUCAAACAAGCAUGGCAAAAGUGCAAUUGGUAAACAGAUUUCAGACUUUGUGAAAUUAACACUUGUCUGGAAUUUCAGAUCAGGUAGCACACUUUGGAGCAUGAAAACUAUAUGCUAUAGGAACUUAACAUGGCAAAGUAAAGCAUGCAAUGGAGCUACUCAAAGAGCUUAACAAAAGUCCCUUAGUGACCUUGAGCCAAAAGGGAUCAGAAAAUACAAUUGCAAGCAUGUGAACAUGGCAAAAACUUAAAUAGAUCACAGACUUGUGAAAAACUAGAGCAUGCAAAUCAGAUUUCAAGUAGGCAUGUUUACGAGCUCGAUGCACUCACUACAGAGCAUGUCAUGACAAUCUAAGAAUACACCCAUCAAGAAAUACACAUUAUACAAGCUAGACAUGGCAAGAACAACAACAUAGCAUGCACGGAUCAACUACGACCUCCUUGGCAAAAUCGCUAACAAGUAGACAAUCUGCCCAGAUUCACGAAAUAGCAAAAGUAGAGCUCGAUUGACUCAAGCUAGGGUGCUCCAUAAUUUCAAACAAAGACAUGGAUGGAUAUAACACUACAAGAUUAACAAAUAACCCUUAUUAAUCAUCCUCAAAAGAGGCACGGAUCACUAGUAAACAACAUGAACAUAUGGCAUAUUGAUAAAAACAAAUCAAGGACUUAGUGGAAUUGCUAAGUCCCUGAAAUCAGCAUUAACGAAUGCUCCACUUGGCAAGCUUGUGCUAGUCACCACACACAUCACAAAAAUACACGGAUAGCACCUCUGGAAAGAUGGCAAAGCAUAUAACAAAACUCAUGUAGAGAUCACGGGCAUAUCAUGCACACAAUAAUCAUGACAAAAAUGACAAAUAGCUAUUUGGUGCAGCAGAUCUGACAAUUAACUCAAAUAGUACUCUUCCAACAACAUUUCGGGCAUCAAGAUGAACUCAAAUGAAAAUGAUGCAAUGCGAUGAAAUGAUGUUCUCUCUGAGACGAACAUUUUGAUAUGCUACACGCCAAAAUGGACCUACGGAUGCAAAGUUACAGCGUGAUGAACAAGGGCAUUUGAAUCUGGAAAACGGGGACUUGGAGAAAAAUCAUCACCUCGCGGAUCUAGGGUUGACCGCGACACAGACUUCGAAGCAGCGGCAGAUCUCGCCGUAUCCGCGCCGGAGAAGGCAUGGACGGCGGCGGGAGCUCCGGCNNNNNNNNNNNNNNNNNNNNNNNNNNNNNNNNNNNNNNNNNNNNNNNNNNNNNNNNNNNNNNNNNNNNNNNNNNNNNNNNNNNNNNNNNNNNNNNNNNNNNNNNNNNNNNNNNNNNNNNNNNNNNNNNNNNNNNNNNNNNNNNNNNNNNNNNNNNNNNNNNNNNNNNNNNNNNNNNNNNNNNNNNNNNNNNNNNNNNNNNNNNNNNNNNNNNNNNNNNNNNNNNNNNNNNNNNNNNNNNNNNNNNNNNNNNNNNNNNNNNNNNNNNNNNNNNNNNNNNNNNNNNNNNNNNNNNNNNNNNNNNNNNNNNNNNNNNNNNNNNNNNNNNNNNNNNNNNNNNNNNNNNNNNNNNNNNNNNNNNNNNNNNNNNNNNNNNNNNNNNNNNNNNNNNNNNNNNNNNNNNNNNNNNNNNNNNNNNNNNNNNNNNNNNNNNNNNNNNNNNNNNNNNNNNNNNNNNNNNNNNNNNNNNNNNNNNNNNNNNNNNNNNNNNNNNNNNNNNNNNNNNNNNNNNNNNNNNNNNNNNNNNNNNNNNGGGCGCCGCGGGCGCCACGUGGCGGCUCGCGAUUCGCUACGGCCGAUGGCGGACGUGUCGGCGGCCGGCGGACGUGUCCGGCCGUGCGGAGAGGGGUGGAUCUAUGGUUUCGGAAAGAGGAGAACGAAAAUUUUGGAGGGGUCUUUAAAUAGGCAUAGGAGGAGCUAGGAGAGUCCAAAUGUGGUGCGGUUUUCGGCCACACGAUCGUGAUCGAACGCUCUAGAUGAUGGAGAAGGUUUUGGUGGGUUUUGGGCCAAAUUGGAAGGGUGUUGGGCUGCAACACACACGAGGCCUUUUCGGUCCCUCGGUUAACCGUUGGAGCAUCAAACGAAGUCCAAAUGGUACGAAACUUGACAGGCGGUCUACCGGUAGUAAACCAAGGCCUCUUGGCAAGUCUCGGUCCAAUCCGGAAAUGUUUAACCCCCACAUACGAAAGAAAGGUAGAAAUGACCACCGGAGGAGAACGGAGCGCCGGAAUGCAAAACGGACAACGGGGAAAAUGCUCGGAUGCAUGAGGCGAACACGUAUGCAAAUGCAAUGCACAUGAUGACAUGAUAUGAGAUGCAUGACAACGACAACAACACGCGGAGACAAAAACCCGAACCCGAGAAAAUAAAAUAACUUAACGCCAGAAAUGGCAAGAGUUGGAUUACAUAUUAGGUAAAUCAUAUCCGGGGUGUUACAACACUCCACCACUAAGAAAGGAUCUCGUCCUGAGAUCUAUGACUGGAAGAACGCUGGGUACUCAGAACGGAGGUGAUCCUCGCGUUCCCAGGUGGCUUCACGGUCGGAAUGGUGUGACCACUUGACUUUGAGGAAUUUGAUUGACUUAUUGCGAGUCUUGCGUUCAGUCUCUUCAAGAAUAGCAAUGGGGUGCUCACGAUAAGAGAGAUCUUCUUGGAGAUCAAUGUCUUCGAAGUUGACGGUGCGGUCAGGAGUCUUGAAGCACUUGCGGAGCUGAGAGACAUGGAACACGUCAUGCACAUUUGCGAAGUUUGAAGGAAGCUCGAGUUAAUAGGCGAGAUCGCCUCUCUUGCUGACGAUCUUGAAAGGUCCCACGUAUCUAGGGGCAAGCUUCCCUUUGAUACCGAAGCGACGAGUACCUUUCAUUGGAGAGACGCGGAGGUAAACAUGAUCUCCGAUCUCGAGGGCCAAAUCACGAUGCUUACUAUCAUAGUAGCUCUUCUGGUGCGAUUGCGCUGCUUUGAGGUUAUCUCGAAUGAGUUUGCACAUUUCCUCUGCCUCUGUGAUUAAGUCAUUACCCAAAAGUUGACGUUCACCGGUUUCAGAUCAGUUGAGAGGGGUACGACACUUCCUGCCAUAGAGAAUUUCGAAUGGGGCCUUGCCCAAACUUGCUUGAAAACUGUUGUUGUAGGAGAAUUCAGCAUAUGGAAGGCAAUCCUCCCACUUCAUGCCGAAGGAGAUCACACAAGCCCUGAGCAUAUCUUCAAGAAUCUGGUUGACACGCUCGACUUGACCGCUAGUUUGAGGAUGGAAAGUUGUGCUGAAGUGGAUGUUGGUUCCCAUGGCCUUCUGAAAAGAAUCCCAAAACUUGGAGGUAAAGAUGCUGCCACGGUCUGAAGAGAUCACCUGUGGAAUACCGUGCAGAGAGACAAUCCGAGAGGUAUAGAGCUCCGCCAAUUGAGCUGCAGUGAUAGACUCUUUGAUAGGCAGAAAGUGAGCCACUUUAGUGAGUUUGUCGAUGACAAUGAAUAUAGCAUCAUUGCCACGCUUGGACUUUGGAAACCCAGUUACGAAGUCCAUCUCAAUGUGGUCAAACUUCCAUUCUGGAAUGGCAAGAGGUUGGAGGAGACCAGCUGGCCUUUGGUGUUCUGCCUUCACUCUUCUGCAGACAUCACACUCAUUCACGAACUGAGCAAUCUCGCGCUUCAUUCGAGUCCACCAAUAAGCAUGCUUGAGGUCCUGAUACAUCUUCGUGCUCCCAGGGUGGAUGGAGAGGAGAGAAUUGUGAGCCUCGUUCAUGAUCACUUUACGAAGGUCACCUUUGGGCACAACAACAUGAUCCUCGAAGAAGAGAGUAUCCUUGUCAUCAAGGCGGCAGCACUUGUACUUGGGUCGUCUCUUGGCAAUCCCAAUCUUCACCUUCUUCACCAUAGCAUCAAGAAGCUGAGCUUGGCAAAUCUGGUAUUCCAAGGUAGGAGAGACUUGAAGGUUGGCGAGGAAACCUUGAGGAACAACUUGCAGAUUGAGUUUGCGGAAAGCUUCAGAAAGUUCGGGUUGAUAAGGCUUGAGAAUCAGAUUGUUGCAAUAAGCCUUCCUUCUCAAUGCGUCAGCAAUCACAUUGGCCUUGCCUGGAGUAUACUCGAUACUCGGAUUAUACUCUUGAAUCAUUGCGACCGAUCGAGUCUGCCUGAGGUUGAGAUUAGGCUGAGUGAAGAUGUACUUGAGACUCUUGUGGUCAGUGAAAAUGUCCACUUUUCUUCCCAAUAAGAGAUGUCUCCAAGUCAAAAGAGCAUGCACAACUGCCGCCAACUCGAGUUCAUGAGUGGGGUAGUUCUUCUCGUUGGGCUUCAACUGGCGAGAGGUAUAAGCCACAACUUUCUUUUCCUGCAUCAACACUGCACCAAGACCUUGGAGAGAGGCAUCGCAGAAGACCUCGAACGGUUUGGAUUCAUCAGGAGGAGUCAAAAAUGGAGCAGUGACCAAUUUCUCUUUCAAAGUGUUGAAAGCAAUGUCACACUCCGGAGACCAAACGUACUUGACGUGCUUCUGGAGAAGAUUUGAGAAAGGCUUCACGAUCUUUGAAAAGUUCUCAACGAACCUUCGACAAUAGCUUGCGAGACCGAGGAAGCUACGGAGUUGCUUCACGUUCUGAGGUGGUUCCCAAUUCACAAUUGCAGACACCUUCUCAGGAUUCACCGCAAUGCCCUUGGCAGAGAUGAUAUGCCCAAGAUAAAGAACCACAUCGAGCCAAAAUUCGCACUUUGAGAACUUGGCGUAGAACUGGUGUUCCCUGAGCUUAUCAAGCACCAAACGCAAGUGUUUGGCAUGAUCUUCCUUGUUCUUCGAAAAGACCAGAAUGUCGUCGAGAUAGACCAAAACAAAGUCAUUGAUGUAGGCGUUGAAGAUGAAGUUCAUCAUGCGAGAGAAAGUCGGAGGAGCAUUGACGAGGCCAAAAGACAUGACAGUGUAUUCAUAUGAACCAUAGCUUGUCCUGAAAGCCGUCUUGGGAAUAUCUUGUUCACGGAUUCGAAUCUGGUGAUAACCCAUACGGAGAUCAAGCUUGGAGAAUACUUGGGCACCCUUGAGUUGUUCGAACAGCUUGUUGAUGUUGGGAAGUGGGUUCUUGUUCUUGAUAGUCUUCUUGUUCAAUGGACGGUAGUCAACACAAAGUCGGUCCAUUCCAUCCUUCUUCUUCACAAAAAGAACUCCACAACCCCACAGAGAGGAACUAGGUCGGAUGAGACCCAUUCUCUCUUGAAUAUCGAGUUGCUUCUUUAGCUCCUUCAACUCUUCAGGUCCGAGCUUGUAAGGACGCUUGCAAACCGGUUCCAUGCCAGACUCAAGAUCGAUGACGAAUUCAACUGGCCGGUGCGGAGGCAUUCCUGGAAGCUCUUCACGAAAGACGUCUUGAUAUUCGCAAACGACUGGAAUUUGCAAGAUGGCAUCCAGUUCACCCUUCUCAUUGAGAGAAAACAGAAGGAUUGUAUCAUCACGAGCGGCAAAGACAAUUACAUCCUCAGACGAAUGAGUCAAUUGAAUCUGCCUGGCUGCACAAUCAAGCUGAGCCUUGUGCUUAGAAAGCCAAUCCAUUCCGAGAAUAAGAUCAAUAUCCGAGUCACCAAGAACAUUUGGAGAAGACAAGAACUUAUAGUCACCCAAAGUGAUUGUAACAUCCGGAACGCAUACUCGAGAUGUCAUUUAAUGGGCCAACGAGACAAUAGCCAACGGUUUCGGCAACACUUGAGUAACAAAAUCAUGCUUAGAUGCAAAAGGUCUCGAGAUGAAACAAUGCGAUGCACCAGUGUCAAAAAGAACUCUUGCAGGAAUAUCGUUAACAGGAAGGUUACCCAUGAUGACAUCUGACGAGUCCUCUGCCUGAGCUGCAUUCACCAUGUUGACCUUGGCGUACUUGGGGUUAUGCUUGACCACAGCUGUACUGGCCGAUCUCACAGGAGGAGGAGGAGGAAGGCGCCUCUGAUUGAAGCAUUUGUUGGCAUAGUGACCCUUCUGUUGGCACUUGUUGCACGUGACCUCUAAAAGCGGACGGUGAUACGGAGCACUCGAUCUUGGAGCUUGAGACGAAGUCUUGUUCUGAAAGCCAGGGUUGGGUGGGUGGGAAGAUCCACUGCCACCUUUGCUCUUCUGAUACGACUGACAGAACGGAGGAGGAGGAAGCCAAUACUUCUGCUGCUUGGCCACUUGAGUAGAGGAAGAAGGAGUAGCAUCUCUGACUCGCUUCUUGGAAGCAUCACACCUCAGUUGAGCAGCCUCUUGCUUCAAUGCCAUGUUGUAGAACUCAUCAUACCUCAAGGGCUCAAAGAGAACAAGAGCUAGCUGGAUUUCUUCUCUGAGACCACCCCUAAACUGGCAUAUCAUGCUCUUCUCGUCAGGGACGUCCUGCUUAGCAAAGCGGGCGAGCUUCUGAAACAACUUGUUGUAGUCAUAGACAGACAAAGAGCCUUGCUUCAGGUUGCAGAAUUCCUCAUGCUUGCUUUCAACCACGCUCUGAGGAAUAUGAUGAGCUUUGAAGUCUUGACGGAAUUCAUCCCAGGUAAUCACAUGGCCUCCUCUGGAAUCUUUGUACUGCGGGAACCAUUCUGCAGCUUGGUCUUUGAGUUGGAAGGAAGCGAACUUGACAAAGUCCUCAGGCCUGACAUUACUGCACUCGAAAUGCUUGCAUAAGUCCACGAGCCAAUCGUCAGCAUCAGUUGCCUCAACACAAUUGUUGUAGGUCUUUGGCCCGUUAGCAAGGAACUGGUUGAGUGUAGAAAAGUGAUUCUGAUUGUUGCCUUGGUUGCCUUGGUUUGCUUGGUUGCGCUCUUGAAGAAUUUGCAUGAUCAACUGCGUGUUUGCAUUGGUUGCGGCCAUCACAUCUUGCCAUGCCUCCGGAGGAGGGGGAGGUGGUGGCGGAUCCUGAUUCUGAUUCUGAUUGCUGCUCUUAGCGGGAGCCAUCCUGAAGAGGGUGACAUUCGUUAGCACAUUGACAGAUAAAAAUUUGAAGCUGAAUCAAGCGGGAUGAAAUUGCAACAUAUAGUCUUCACAUCCAAACAUAAGAACGAAUUCAUUCCACUUGAAAUGGUCACAUAUCCAUAAAUUGAGAAGCCACUUAGAAUUUAGGUAGAGGAAUAAAUCAACAAGGUACGAAACAAGAACGAAUACUCGGUAAGAAAUCCCAAUCUCAAACCAAAUAUUUGUUAAGAAGAGCUAGAGCUACAAGAAUUCCCACCUAUGAAACUCCCGAACCUUUCCGGUUAUGCAAUCAAGUGUUGGGGAUACAGGGGAAGCAUAAUAUCUCACCCAAAUCUAGCAUAUCCUACAUCCAGCUGUAUCCAUCCUUCAACACAUAACCGAGAAAAAACUUCGGAAACCAUCUACCUCAACCUUCGAAAAGCAUCCGUUAUACAAGUUAUGGCAAUACUCCCGAACUCCUGCCCCAGUACUGGGUGGCAUCAAGGUUAUCUCACCAACAACUGCAUAAAAGAGAUUUUCGAUGUCGGCGUACUAAACUCAGGUAUUCCAGAACUGCAACGAUAAAAUUGUGAUGACAACUCCUCGGAGCUCAACUCCCCGGGACACUGCCACAACACCUAAAUGAUAGGAGGCACCAAGAACAAUAUUCUCGUCACAAAACCAUCAGAACGAUUCCAAGAUACCCGCGUGAUCCUAAAAAAAAUUUAGUGAAAUUUGAGAAGAGAAGAGACAAAACUCUAUGUCGGGAUGCCUCACCAGAGCGAUGAAGGGACUGGGGAGUAAAAAGAAUUCCUAAACUCUCCGAUAUAUAAUACCUAAAUGACUCAAAACAUUUUUUUUCUAGACUCAAACUCGGCUGCUAAAAAUGAUCAAGUAGUGGGGGCUCCUAAGGUCGGGGAAGGCUCUGAUUAACAACUUGUAACACCCUCGAUGCGGCUAUAUCUCCUACGUGUCGAAGCAUGACUUAGAGGCAUAACCGCAUUGAAAGCAAUGUCGCAAGUUAGGCAAUCUUCACAACAUCCCAUGUAAUAUAAAUAAUAAAAGGGGAAGGAACAUAGUUGGCUUACACUCGCCACGUCAAACAAAGUACAUAAAUAGCAUUACAUCAUCCAAUCACUCAUGGCUCGUCUAUGGUGCCAAAAUAAAAGAUCAACCCAACAUGCGACACGGUCCCGAUCGCCCCAACUGGGCACCACUACUGAUCAUCAGGGAAAGACACAUAGUAACAGCGUGAGUCCUCGUCGAACUCCCACUUGAGCUCAAGCGCGUCAUAUGGAACGGAGUCGUCUGGCCCUGCAUCUGGUUUGGAAGUAAUCUGUGAGUCACAGGGACUCAGCAAUCUCGAGCCCUCACGAUCAAGACUAUUUAAGCUUACAGGUAAGGCAAGGUAAUAUGUGGAGCUACAGCAAGCGACUAGCAUAUAUGGUGGCUAACCUGUUCGCAAAAGAGAGCGAGAAGAGAAGGCAAUGCACGAUCGAAUAACUAGAGAACAACCUGCGGCAAGCAUUACUCCAACACCGUGUUCACUUCCCGGACUCCACCGAGAAGAGACCAUCACGGUAACUCACAUAGUUGAUUCAUUUUAAUUAAGUUAAGGUUCAAGUUAUCUACAACCGGACAUUAACAAAUUCCUAUCUGCCCAUAACCGUGGGCACGGCUUUCGAAAGUUCAAAUCCCUGCAGGGGAGUCCCAACUUAGCCCAUGACAAGUUCUCACGGUCAACAAAGGAUAUACCUUCUCCCGAGACAUUCCGAUCAGACUCGGUAUCCCGGUUCUACAAGACACUUUGACAAGUUAAAACAAAUCCAGCAACACCGCCCGAAUGUGCCGACAAAUCCCGAUAGGAGCUGCACAUAUCUCGUUCUCAGGGCACACUCGGAUAAGCAAUCCGUACAACUAAAACCAGCCCUCGAGUUUCCCCGAGGUGGCGCUGCAAGGGGCUCUAGGUUGGACCAACGCUCAGAGGAGCACUGGCCCGGGGGGGUUUAAAUAAGAUGACCCUUGGGCUCCGGAAACCCAAGGUAAAAAGAGGCUAGGUGGCAAUGGUAAAACCAAGGUUGGGUAUUGCUGGAAAAGCUUUAUUCAAGGCGAACUGUCAAGGGGUUCCCAUUAUCACCCAACCGCGUAAGGAACGCAAAAUCCGGGAACAUAACACCGAUAUGACGGAAACUAGGGUGGCAAGAGUGGAACAAAACAUUAGGCGAGAGGCCGAGCCUUCCACCCUUUACCAAGUAUAUAGAUGCAUUAAGAUAACAAGAUAAUAUAAUGAUAUCCCAACAAGAAAAUAAUGUUCCAACAAGGAACGGUCUCCAAUCUUCACCUGCAACUAGCAACGCUAUAAGAGGGGUUGAGCAAAGCAGUAACAUAGCCAAUCAACGGUUUGCUAGGACAUGGUGGGUUAGAGGUUUGACAAGGCAAUUUGGGAGGCACGAUAAGCAAGUGGUAGGCAUCGUAGCAUAGGCAUAGCAAAAGAGCGAGCAUCUAGCAAAGCAAAGAUAGAAGUGAUUUCGAGGGUAUGAUCAUCUUGCCUGCAAAGUUGUCAGAGUUGACUGGAUCCUCGAAAGCAAACUCAACGGGCUCCUCGUUAGCGAACUCGUCUCCCGGAUCUACCCAAACAAGACAAAUAAGCAAAAGGACACAAUCAACCACGUGCAAAGCUCAAACAACAUGAUGCAAACAUGGUAUGCUAUGCGGGAUGCGAUAUGUGAUGCAUAUACAAGAUUUGACAAGGAAUGAAUGAACCUGGCCUCAACAUGGAAAUCCAAGUGUGCCACUGGAAAGGUGAGAUGAUUUCUCUUGAAAACGAUAUAAAGAACGCCGGAAUCGGAGACACGGUUUGGAAAUGGCAAGCAAUUCAAAUAUGGCACCGAUCUGCGAUAUACGGCAAGUAGCCAUCUAAAUGCAACAAGCUAAACAUGCUACAGCACCCAAAUAUGGCAACAAAAUACAUGGCAGGGAUCCAUUCAUGAAGCUUAACAAAAGAUGAACACUGAGCUACGGCCAAUUCAUCCAUUAACAGGUUCAAACAAGCAUGGCAAAAGUGCAAUUGGUAAACAGAUUUCAGACUUGGUGAAAUUAACACUUGUCUGGAAUUUCAGAUCAGGUAGCACACUUUGGAGCAUGAAAACUAUAUGCUACAGGAACUUAACAUGGAAAAGUAAAGCAUGGCAUGGCAUGGAGCUACUCAAAGAGCUUAACAAAAGUCCCUUAGUGACCUUGAGCCAAAAGGGAUCAGAAAAUACAAUUGCAAGCAUGUGAACAUGGCAAAAACUUAAACAGAUCACAGACUUAGUGAAAAAUUGGAGCAUGCAAAUCAGAUUUCAAGUAGGCAUGUUUGCGAGCUCGAUGCACUCACUACAGAGCAUGUCAUGACAAUCUAAGCAUACACCCAUAAAGAAUACACAUUAUACAAGCUAGACAUGGAAAGAACAACAACAUAGCAUGCACGGAUCAACUACGACCUCCUCGGCAAAAUCGCUAACAAGUAGACAAUCUGCCCAGAUUCACGAAAUAGCAAAAGUAGAGCUCGAUUGACUCAAGCUAGGGUGCUCCAUAAUUGCAAACAAAGACAUGGAUGGAUAUAGCACUACAAGAUUAACAAAUCACCCUUACUGAUCAUCCUCAAUAGAGGCACGGAUCACUAGUAAACAACAUGAACAUAUGGCAUAUUGAUAAAAACAGAUCAAGGACUUAGUGGAAUUGCUAAGUCCCUGAAAUCAGCAUUAACGAAUGCUCCACUUGGCAAGCUUGUGCUAGUUACCACACACAUCACAGAAAUACAUGGAUAGCACCUCUGGAAAGAUGGCAAAGCAUAUAACAAAACUCAUGUAGAGCUCACGGGCAUAUCAUGCACACAAUAAUCAUGGCAAAAAUGACAAAUAUCUAUUUGGUGCAGCAGAUCUGACAAUUAACUCAAAUAGCACUCUUCCAACAUUAUUUCGGGCAUCAAGAUGAACUCAAAUGAAAAUGAUGCAAUGAGAUGAAAUGAUGUGCUCUCUGAGACGAACAUUUCGAUAUGCUACACGCCCAAAAUGGACCUACGGAUGCAAAGUUAUAGUGUGAUGAACAAGGGCAUUUGAAUCUGGAAAACGGGGACUUGGAGAAAAAUCAUCACCUCGCGGAUCUAGGGUUGACCAUGGCACGGACUUCGAAGCGGCGGCGGAUCUCGCCGGAUCCGCGCCGGAGAAGGCAGGGACGGUGGCGGGAGCUCCGGCCGGUGGAGGGGAUCGCCGGAGCGCGGCCGGGGCGGCGGAGUACGCGGACGGCGGGGCGGAGGGUGUGCGGCGGCGACCAGCGGCAGGCCGAGCGCGUAUGGCGGCGAGGAGGGUGGCGCCGGCGGGGAACCUGCCGUGGCGGAGCGUUGAGGGUCGCGGCGGCGUUGGGCGCCGGACUCAGGGAAGGAGGCGGCAGGGCAGACGGACGCGGGUGGCGGUGGCUUCGGGCCGCGGAGGGCCUGCUGCGGGCCGAACGGGCCGGCAGCGAUGUGGGCGCUGCGGGCGCCACAUGGCGGCUCGCGAUUUGCUGCGGCCGACGGCGGACGUGUCCGGCGGCCGGCGAACGUGUCCGGCCGCGCGGAGAGGGGUGGAUCUAGGGUUUCGGAAAGAGGAGAACGAAAAUUUCGGAGGGGGUCUUUAAAUAGGCAUAGGAGGAGCUAGGAGAGUCCAAAUGAGGUGCGGUUUUCGGCCAUGCGAUCGUGAUCGAACGCUCUAGAUGAUGGAGAAGGUUUUGGUGGGUUUUGUGACAAAUUGGAAGUGUGUUGGGCUGCAACACACACGAGGCCUUUUCGGUCCCUCGGUUAACCGUUGGAGCAUCAAACGAAGUCCAAAUGGUACGAAACUUGACAGGCGGUCUACCGGUAGUAAACCAAUGCCGCUUGGCAAGUCUCGGUCCAAUCCGGAAAUUUUUAACCCCCACAUACGAAAGAAAGGUAGAAAUGACCACCGAAGGAGAACGGAGCGCCGGAGUGCAAAACGGACAACAGGGAAAAUGCUCGGAUGCAUGAGACGAACACGUAUGCAAAUGCAAUGCACAUGAUGACAUGAUAUGAGAUGCAUGACAACGACAACAACACACGGAGACAAAAACCCGAACCCGAGAAAAUAAAAUAACUUAACGCCAGAAACGACAAUUGUUGGAUUAAAUAUUAGGUAAACCAUAUCCGGGUUGGAUUACAUAUUAGAAAAAGUCUCAUAUCUUGGCACAGGGCCUGGAUGCGGCAACAGGAUGAACCUCACCUCAGGUUCGCGGCCAAGAGCAUGUACACAUGCUACGAGAUGCAUAGGCAGAUCAUUGACAUGAGGAAGUGCCUCGUUACCCAAAUCGACGAGCCCGGAUCGACCCACAAGCAGAGCAAGCAUCGCAAGAAGUAGAUGAUGAUCAGAUGAUCGUUUAUGCUAGUUAAUCAUGCAUGUAAUAUAUAGUUUACUUUAUUGGUGUGUGGAAAUGUCAUGUGUGUAGUAGCCACCUAUGUACUUAUGCAUGUAAUAGUUUACUUUGGUGUGUGCAAAUGCCAUGGUUGUAGUAGCCACCUAUGUAAGUGGAUGUUUCAUUUGGUUAUGCAACCAUGUCCUUAUAAGUGUGUGUGUGCGUGUGUGUGUGUGUGUGUGUGUUGUUCUUAUGUAUGCAAUCCCAUCGCACAACACACACGUCUUACUAGCAGCAACCGUCUGUGUUAUUAUCGGUCUUUGCACACAUUUCUGAUUACAGUCCUAAUGGUCGCGUAUCACACUCAUCUUGUUAUAUUGAGCCAUUUCUGUUCUCUUAUCUCAACACAAACAGUUCAUCCGUGUGAACCGCAUGCCAUAUAUCUCACACACCUUGAUCUGGCUGGCCAUUUCUUUUGUGUUGCCUAAUCACAAACAGUUCAUCCGAGUGAACCGUAUGCUAACAUCAUACACACCUUCAUCUAGCUGCCCGUUUCUUUUGUUCCUCCUCAUCACAAACGGUUAAUUGAACUGAACUGUAUGCCCUACAUCGCACACGCAACUAAAAUCUGAACCGUGUUUGAUGCAUCAUCCAUCGCAAAUGUUUUGCACCUUUUUUGAUGGUUUUUUACACCACCAUUUGUGGUUAUUGCAUCGCACACAGGUUCGUCGAAGGGUCUCUGAUCGUGGUGUCGCAUUAGCAGCAUCCUGCGGUAGUGUCAUUUCCAUGCCAUUGUUGAACAUCUCUCAAAUACACUAGAUAAAAACAUUAGUCAGAUCCAUCUCCAUCGAAUCUACUUUUCCAAACACUUUUGCCCUUGUUUUGGACUCUAACUUGCAUUAUUUGAAUGGAACUAACCCGGACUGACGCUGUUUUUAGCAGAAUUGCCAUGGUGUUAUUUUUGUGUAGAAAUAAAAGUUCUCGGAAUGACCUGAAAAUCAACGGAGAAUUAUUUUGGAAUAUAUAAAAAUACUGGAAGAAGAAUCCACGUCAGGGGGGCCUCCACCUAUCCACGAGGGUGGGGGGUGUGCCUGCCCCCCUUGGCGCGCGCCCUGCCUCGUGGGCCCCCUGAUGCUCCACCGACCUGAACCUUGACUCCAUAUAUUCACUUUUGGGGAGAAAAAAAUCAAAGAGAAGGAUUCAUCAUGUUUUACAAUACGGAGCCGCCGCCAAGCCCUAAACUCUCUUGGGAGGGCUGAUCCGGAGUCCAUUCGGGGCUCCGGAGAGGGGAAUCCGUCGCCAUCGUCAUCAUCAACCCUCCUCCAUCACCAAUUUCAUGAUGCUCACCGUCGUGCGUGAGUAAUUCCAUCGUAGGCUUGCUGUACGGUGAUGGGUUGGAUGAGAUUUAUCAUGUAAUCGAGUUAGUUUUGUUAGGGUUUGAUCCCUAGUAUCCACUAUGGUCUGAGAUUGAUGUUGCUAUGACUUUGCUAUGCUUAAUGCUUGUCACUAGGGCCCGAUUGCCAUGAUUUCAGAUCUGAACCUAUUAUGUUUUCAUCAAUAUAUGGGAGUUCUUAAUCCUGUCUUGCAAGUCUAUAGUCACUAUUAUGUGAUAUGAUCCAUUAACCCCGAAGUGACAAUAAUCAGGAUACUUACCGGUGAUGACUGUAGUUUGAGGAGUUCAUGUAUUCACUAUGUGUUAAUGCUUUGGUCCAGUACUCUAUUAAAAGGAGGCCUUAAUAUCCCUUAGUUUCCAUUAGGACCUCGCUACCACGGGAGGGUAGGACAAAAGAUGUCAUGCAAGUUCUUUUUCGUAAGCACGUAUGACUAUAUUCGGAAUACAUGCCUACAUUACAUUGAUGAAUUGGAGCUAGUUCUGUAUCACCCUAUGUUAUAACGGUUGCAUGAAUAACCGCAUCCGGCAUAAUUCUCCAUCACCGAUCCAUUGCCCAUGAGCUUUUCCAUAUAUUAUUCUUCGCUUAUUUACUUUUCCACUGCUAGUGUUACAAUCACUAUAAAACCCAAAAAUAUUACUUUUGGUACCGUUACUUUUGCUAUCGUUACCACUACUAUCAUAUUACUUUGCUACUAAAUACCUUGCUGCAGAUAUUAAGUUUCUAGGUGUGGUUGAAUUAACAACUCAGCUGCUAAUACUUGAGAAUAUUCUUUGGUUCCCCUUGUGUCGAAUCAAUAAAUUUGGGUUGAAUACUCUACCCUCGAAAACUGUUGCGAUCCCCUAUACUUGUGGGUUAUCAAGAAUAUUUUCUGGCGCCGUUGCCGGGAAGCAUAGCUCUAUUCUUUGAGUCACUUGGGAUUUCUAUCUGUUUAUUACUAUGAAGAACUUGAAAGAUGAAAGAACCAAGAUUUUUGCCCUCAACUAUGAGGGGAGGUAAGGAACUGCCAUCUAGCUCUGCACUUGAUUCACCUUCUGUUUUGAGUAAACGUGCGACACCUAAACCUGCUUCUGCUAUUAAUUCUGAUAUGUCUCAUGUUAUUGAUGAUGCCACUUCUGCUAUGCCUGAUACUUAUGAUGGAACUACUUCUAUGCUUGAUACCACUGUGCCACUUGGUGAAUUUCUUGAUGAACAACUUGCUAGGGCUAGAGAGAAUGAAAUUAUUGAAACUGGUAAUAUUUGAUGAAAGUGAUGAUGAAGAUUCUCCCCCUAGAUAUGAAUUACCUGUUGUUCCUGAGGGUUAUGUUAUGGAUGAAGAAACUGCUAGAGACUUUCUUGCUUGCAAUGAUAUGAGUGGUCUUAAGAAACUAUUAGCUAAGAUGAAACAAAAAUCUCUGAAUGCUAAAAUGAAAUAUGAUCCUGCUUGUGCUACUUCACCUAUCUUUGUUGCUGAUAAGGAUUAUGAAUUCUCUUUUGACCCUGAUAUAAUUACUUUGGUUGAAUCUGAUCCUUUCUAUGGCUAUGAAUUAGAAACUGUUGUGGCACAUCUUACUAAAUUAAAUGAUAUAGCCACCCUGUUCACUAAUGAUGAGAAAACUCGCUACUACUAUAUCCUUAAAAUAUUUCCAUUCUCAUUAAAGGGUGAUGUUAAGAUAUGGUUUAAUUCUCUGGACUAACCGAUGCUUCUAGAGAUUACCUGGAUAGUUGUGCUGGUUGUGUUUUCAGGGAAAGAACUGUUGAUCAAGCUGAAAUUCUAUUGCAUAAUAUGUUGACUAAUGAAAAAAAUUGGACACUUCCUGAACCAACUCCUAAGCCAACUCCGAAGAAAAGGGGUAUUCUAUUUCUCAGUCCUGAAGAUAUGCAAGAGGCAAAGAAAUCUAUGAAAGAAAAAGGUAUUAAAGCUGAGGAUGUUAAGAAUUUACCUCCUGUUGAAGAAAUACAUGGUCUUAAUUUACCGCCUAUUGAAGAAACACAUGGUCUUGAUAACCCGACAUAGGUAGUAAAGGUAAAUUCUCUCUAUAGAUAUGAUAAAGCUGAAAUCCCUCCUACUAAGUUUGCUAGCCAAUGCUUAGAUGAGUUUGAUAAUUUUAUGGUUAAACAAGAAGACUUCAAUGCUUAUGUUGGUAGACAAUUGAAACAUAAUGCUUAUAUGAUUGAACACUUGAGUGAUUAUAUGGCUAGUGUUAAAGGAGAACUUAAAAUUAUUAGUAAACAUGCUUCUACGGUUACCACUCAAGUAGAACAAGUACUUAAAGCUCAGAAUGAUUUGCUCAAUGAAUUAAAUAGUAAGAAAAAUAAUAAUGUUGUUAGAGUUGUGACUAGAGGUGGUAAAAUGACUCAGGAACCUUUGUAUCCUGAAGGCCAUCCUAAGAGAAUUGAGCAAAAUUCUCAAAGAACUAAUGUAGAUGCACCUAGUCCUUCUAAGAGGAAGAAAAACAAAAAUGAGAGGACUUUGCAUGCUUCUAGUGAACCUGUUAUUGACACACCUGAGAAUCCCAAUGAUAUUUCUAUUUCUGAUGCUGAAACACAAUCUGGUAAUGAACAUGAACCUAGUGAUAAUGUUAAUGAUGACGUUCAUCUUCAUGCUCAACCUAGUAAUGACAAUGAUGUAGAGAUUGAACAUGUUGUUGAUCUUGAUAACCCACAAUCAAAGAAUCAACGUUAUGAUAAGAGAGACUUUGUUGCUAGGAAGCACGGUAAAGAAAGAGAACCAUGAGUUCAGAAACCCAUGCCUUUUCCUCCCAAGUCAUCCAAGAAAAAGGGUGAUAAGGAUUUUGAGCGCUUUGCUGAAAUGAUUAGACCUAUCUUUUUGCGUAUGCGUUUGACUGAUAUGCUUAAAAUGAAUCCUUAUGCUAAGUACAUGAAGGAUAUUGUUACUAAUAAAAGAAAGAUACUGGAAGCUGAAAUUUCCACCAUGCUUGCUAAUUAUACUUUUAAGGGUGGAAUACCAAAGAAACUAGGAGAUCCAGGAGUACCAACUAUACCAUGCUCCAUUAAAAGAACUAUGUUAAAACUGCUUUAUGUGAUCUUGGAGCCGGUGUUAGUGUUUUGCCGCUCUCUUUAUAUCAUAGACUUGAUCUGAAUAAGUUGACACCUAUUGAAAUAUCUUUCCAAAUGGCUGACAAAUCAACUACUAUACCUAUCGGUAUUUGUGAGGAUGUGCCUGUUGUGGUUGCAAACGUUACUAUUUUAACGGACUUUGUUAUUCUUGAUAUUCCCGAGGAUGAUAAUAUGUCUAUUAUUCUGGGAAGACCCUUUUUGAAUACUGCAGGGGCUGUUAUUGAUUGCAACAAAGGCAAUGUCACUUUUCAUGUUAAUGGCAAUGAGCAUACGGUACACUUUCCGAGGAAACAACCUCAAGUUCAUAGUAUAAACUCUAUUGGAAAAUUCCAUCGAUUAUUUUUGGAGGUUUUGAAUUUCCUCUACCUACUAUCAAGAAGAAAUAUGAUAUUCUUAUUAUUGGGGACGUGCAUAUCCCCGUUGAGGUAACCUAGUGUUAUUCGAAAAUUCUCCAGUUUCAUGUUAUUCGAAAUGAGUUUGCUAACAAGACUUGAUCAACCAUGUUAGUGGAUUCCUUUUGAUGAGCAUAGAUGGAUGAAUUUAGAAAACACAACUCUCUGUACCCUCUUUUUACUUUCUGUUAUUUAUAUUAAAUAAAGCAAAAAUAGUAUUUUCUGUCUGUUUCCUGAAUUAUCCAUGCAAUAAAAAUACCCCGAAAAUGAAAGUUCUCCAAAUGCCCUGAAAUUUAAAUAUGAUUUUUUCUGGAAUAUUUGAAGAUAUCUGGCACUGAGAACUCAUCAGGGGCAGCAAGCACUUAGCUACGAGGGUCCAGGGCGCGCCCCCUGCCUCGUGGGCCCAUGGUGGCUCCCCUCCACUUAUUCCAGCCACCACACACUCCUUCUUCCUCCCAAAAAAAUCACUAACUAGCUCAAGCACGAGUUCUAGCUCAUCUUGCUGCCAUUUUCGAUCUCCUUGCUCAAAGCUCCAUUCACAAAACUACUUUGGGGGAUUGUUCUUUGGUAUGUGACUCCUCCAAUGGUCCAAUUAGUUUUUGUUCUAGUGCUUUAUUUAUUGCAAAUUGUUGCUGCUUAGCUGACCCUAUUCUUGAGCUUGCAUAUCAAAUUUAUAUGGUAAAAAGUAGUUUUAAUGCAUGAUACAGUCUCUAGGCACUUGUGGGAGUAGUUGCUAUCAAUUUCGUUGAGUUUGGUUCACUUUUAUUUUGAAGUUACUAAAAAUUUCAGAAAUUUUUCAGAGGAGGAAAUAUGUUUAGGAAAAUGUACUGUGGUGGUUCUUCAAGGAAGCAAGGACCCAGGCCCGCAAUGCGUGAGCCGGACGAUGAACCACCGAGGGACGCUCAAGUGCGGCCUUGUGAAUGGCCGUCAGAGGACUUCAUGGUUCCAGUAGGAAUCAAGGAGGAAUUUGACGCAUAUGUGUGUAAUGCUGAUCUGGAGAGCUUCGAGGCAGAUAAGUGUCGUCAAUACCUCUAUUUAACUGAUUCAUUUGUGAGAAGGUUUAAAUUUUCAUCAUCACGCAAUUCUCAGACUGUCCUGUUUGAUCUUUAUGAAAAUUCUUAUACUAUGGACUUAGAAGAUUUUAACACUGCUUGUAAACUUCCACAAUGGGGUAGCCAUAGUGAGCCUCGCAAAUCGGAGUUUAGAGAUUUUCUUGCUAGUGUAACUGUGGGGGAGUCUAGAGAUAUAACACAAGCUACCAUAGGGAGCAUUCAUUUUCCUGCUAUACAUUAUUUUGCUCUCUUCAUAGGUAGGUGCAUCAAUGGUAAGGAUGAAGCAUGUCACAUGUGUGUCCCUGAUCUCAGUGUUCUCGGGAGUGCUGUAUUAGGAGAUAAACAUUAUAAUUUGGGAGCCAUUGUUGCUCGUAGGUUGCAUAAUAAUCGUAUUCAUGGAGAUUUCUUUGGUGGAAUUUAUGCAACUCAUAUAGCUAACUUUCUUGAGAUACCCAUACAUGGAGAUAAUAUUGAGUUGCCUCCUUCUUAUUUAGAUUAUGAGGCUAUGGUUCGUCAUCAGUUUGUUGAGAGGAACGAUCAGUUCCUCCAGUACCGACUAAUCUUUGACAGACGACGCACCUAUCACAUCGCCCUCCCUGCUCCUACUUUCUUUGACUUUCAGGCAAAGAGGCAAUAUUUUAUAACCAGGAGGAGGUGACCGAGUACGAGAGGAGGGCGGAGACAGCUCGCCUCCAAGCUGCAGCUCAUCAGGCAAUUGCCGCUGCAUCUCAGUACGACCCCAACUACAACUUUGGAUAUCCUCCAGGCCAGCCAUGGCCAUAGACCAACUUAGGCCAAAAGCCUAAGCUUGGGGGAGUACAUAUUUCUGACCGACAUUACAUUUAUGUUCACACACUCAUGCUAAUUGUCGGUGCUCAUACUUUUUCACUGUAUCAUCCAUGCUAGUUUAUUUUUCCCUUUUUAUGCUUUCUUCUUGUGUGUUUGAUAAACCUUAAGAAAAACAAAAAAAAAUUAGUUGUAGCUUUUAGCUAGUUUACUUUCUUGCUUGUAGUAGUAAUUAAAAGGAAACCCAAAAAGAUUUCUUGUUCUUCUUUUGCUUGUUGGGAGCUUUCCUGUGUAAAUAUUUUUACUUCUUUUCUUUUCUUUGGGGGUCGAUAGGAGAAGAGCAUGAUUAAAAUGUUGAGUUGCUCUCAUAUGCAUUAUUGUUGAUCUAACCAAGAGCCCAUAUUACCUUGUCUUCUCUCUUGAAUUGAAUGCUUGUAGAUGCCAGCUUAGUCCAAUGCACGUGCACUAUUAUUAUUUUCCACACUAUUCAGUCGUGCAAGUGAAAGGCAAUAAUGAUGAUUAUAUGAUGAAAUGAUUGAGAUGAGAGAAGCUGGUAUGACCUCGACCUCUCUUGUUUUUGUAAAUAUGAUUAGUUCAUCGUUCCUGAUUUAGCUUAUUAUGAAUAAACAUGUUUGCAAUGACAAUUAGAGAUUGUGGUUGCUUAUGCCAUGCUUAAUUAGCUAGGAGCUUAUAAUGGUUUACCUUGCGUGCCAACAUGCUAUUAAAAUGGUUGUGAUGUGGUAUGAUAGGGUGGUAUCCUCUUUUGAACAAUUCAAGUGGCUUGACUUGGCACAUGUUCACGCAUGUAGUUGAAACAAAAUCAACAUAGCCUCUAUGAUAUUUAUGUUCAUGGUGCAUUAUAUCCUACUCAUGCUUGCAUUCGAUGUUGAUUAAUUUUAAUGCAUGUUCAUGACUGUUGUCACUCUCUAGCUGGUCGCUUCCCAGUCUUUUUCUAGCCUUCACUUAUACUAAGCGGGAAUACUGCUUGUGCAUCCAAUUCCAUAAACCCCAAAGUUAUUCCAUAUGAGUCCACCAUACCUGCCUAUACACGGUAUCUACCUACCGUUCCAAGUAAAUUUGUAUGUGCCAAACUCUAAACCUUCAAAUAAACAUUCUGUUUUGUAUGCUCGAAUAGCUCUUGUAUCAACUAGGGUUGUCUGUAUCUUCCAUGCUAGGCGGGUUAUUCUCAAGAGGAGUGGACUCCGCUCCUCAUUCACGAGAACAUGGCUGGUCACCGGGAUGCGCAGUCCCAUGCUUUAUGCAAAUCAAAUCUAAAUGACUGCAAGCAAAACUCCCCCGGGAUUCUUGUUAGUUGGAGUCACUCGUUGUUUCGAGCAAGCCAUGGAUUGAUGCUUGUUGGUGGAGGGGGAGUAUAAACUUUACCAUUCUGUUUGGGAACCGCCUAUAAUGUGUGUAGCAUGGAAGAUAUCGAGAUCUCUGAGUUGUUAUGUUGACAAUGAAAGUAUACCGCUCAAAAUAUUAUUCACAUCUAUUUCAAAACCGAGCUCUGGCACCUCUACAAGUCCCCGCUUCCCUCUGCGAAGGGCCUAUCCAUUUACUUUUUUGUUGAGUCAUCCUCCUCUUAUUAAAAAUCACCAGUUGGAGAGCACCGCUGUCAUUUGCAUUCAUUAUUGUUAGUUUACAUUGAGUAUGACUUGACUGGAUCUCUUUUACCAUGAAUUACAAUGUCUAGUUUGUCCUUGAUCUUUAAAGGUGCUCUGCAUUUAUGUUUUGCGGUCUCAGAAAGGGCUAGCGAGAUACCAUCUUGUUAUAUCAUAUCAUGAUUGUUUAUGAAAGUGUUGUCAUCCGAGAUAAAUUAUUAUUGCUCGCUAAUUGAUUAUGUCAUUGAUAUGAGUAAACAUGAGACCGAAGUGUUAUUGUGAAUAUGAUUAGUUCAUAAUCUUUGCUGAAAACUUGAAUGCUGGCUUUACAUAUUUACAACAACAAGAGCAAACAGAGUUUGUAAAAGUUUUUCUUUAUCACUACCAGUUUAUCAACUGAAUUGCUUGAGGACAAGCAAAGGUUUAAGCUUGGGGGAGUUGAUACGUCUCCGUCGUAUCUACUUUUCCAAACACUUUUGCCCUUGUUUUGGACUCUAACUUGCAUGAUUUGAAUGGAACUAACCCGGACCGACGCUGUUUUUAGCAGAAUUGCCAUGGUGUUAUUUUUGUGCAGAAAUAAAAGUUCUCGGAAUGACCUGAAAAUCAAUGGAGAACUAUUUUGGAAUAUAUAAAAAAUACUGGAAGAAGAAUCCACGUCAGGGGGGCCUCCACCUGUCCACGAGGGUGGGGGGCGCGCCCCCCUGCCUCGUGGGCCCCCUAAUGCUCCACCGACCUCAACCUUGACGACAUAUAUCCACUUUCGGUGAGAAAAAAUCAGAGAGAAGGAUUCAUCGUGUUUUACGAUACGGAGCCGCCGCCAAGCCCUAAACUCUCUCAGGAGGGCUGAUCUGGAGUCCGUUCGGGGCUCCGGAGAGGGGAAUCCAUCGCCAUCGUCAUCAUCAACCUUCCUCCAUCACCAAUUUCAUGAUGCUCACCGCCAUGCCUGAGUAAUUCCAUCGUAGGAUUGCUGGAUGGUGAUGGGUUGGAUGAGAUUUAUCAUGUAAUUGAGUUAGUUUUGUUAGGGUUUGAUCCCUAGUAUCCACUAUGGUCUGAGAUUGAUGUUGCUAUGACUUUGCUAUGCUUAAUGCUUGUCACUAGGGCCCGAGUGCCAUGAUUUCAGAUCUGAACCUAUUAUGUUUUCAUCAAUAUAUGAGAGUUCUUGAUCCUAUCUUGCAAGUCUAUAGUCACCUAUUAUGUGUUAUGAUCCAUUAACCGCGAAGUGACAAUAAUCAGGAUACUUACCGGUGAUGACUGUAGUUUGAGGAGUUCAUGUAUUCACUCUGUGUUAAUGCUUUGGUCCAGUACUCUAUUAAAAGGAGGCCUUAAUAUCCCUUAGUUUCCAUUAGGACCUCGCUGCCACGGGAGGGUAGGACAAAAGAUGCCAUGCAAGUUUUUUUUCCGUAAGCACGUAUGACUAUAUUCGGAAUACAUGCUACAUUACAUUGAUGAAUUGGAGCUAGUUCUAUGUUACCCUAUGUUAUAACUGUUGCAUGAAUAAUCGCAUCCGGCAUAAUUCGCCAUCACCGAUCCAUUGCCUACGAGCUUUUCCAUAUAUUGUUCUUUGCUUAUUUACUUUUCCGCUGCUACUGUUACAAUCACUAUAAAAAAAACCAAAAAUAUUACUUUUGGUACCGUUACUUUUGCUAUCGUUACCACUACUAUCAUAUUACUUUGCUACUAAAUACCUUGAUGCAGAUAUUAAGUUUCCAGGUGUGGUUGAAUUGACAACUCAGCUGCUAAUACUUGAGAAUAUUCUUUGGCUCCCCUUGUGUCGAAUCAAUAAAUUUGGGUUGAAUACUCUACCCUCGAAAACUGUUGCGAUCCCCUAUACUUGUGGGUUAUCAAGAAUAUUUUCUGGCGCCGUUGCCGGGGAGCAUAGCUCUAUUCUUUGAGUCACUUGGGAUUUCUAUCUGUUUAUUACUAUGAAGAACUUGAAAGAUUAAAGAACCAAGAUUUUUCCCUCAACUAUGAGGGGAGGUAAGGAACUGCCAUCUAGCUCUGCACUUGAUUCACCUUCUGUUUUGAGUAAACUUGCGACACCUAAACCUGCUUCUGCUAUUAAUUCUGAUAUGUCUCAUGUUAUUGAUGAUGCCACUUCUGCUAUGCCUGAUACUUAUGAUGAAACUACUUCUAUGCUUGAUACCACUGUGCCACUUGGUGAAUUUCUUGAUGAACAACUUGCUAGGGCUAGAGAGAAUGAAAUUAUUGAAACUGGUAAUAUUGAUGAAAGUGAUGAUGAAGAUUCUCCCCCUAGAUAUGAAUUACCUGUUGUUCCUGAGGGUUAUGUUAUGCAUGAAGAAACUGCUAGAGACUUUCUUGCUUGCAAUGAUAUGAGUGAUCUUAAGAAACUAUUAGCUAAGCUGAAACAAAAAUCUCUGAAUGCUAAAAUGAAAUAUGAUCCUGCUUAUGCUACUUCACCUAUCUUUGUUACUGAUAAGGAUUAUGAAUUCUCUGUCGACACUGAUAUAAUUACUUUGGUUUAAUCUGAUCCUUUCUAUGGCUAUGAAUUUGAAAUUGUUGUGGCACAUCUUACUAAAUUAAAUGAUAUAGCCACCCUGUUCACUAAUGAUGAGAAAACUCGCUACUACUAUAUCCUUAAAAUAUUUCCGUUCUCAGGGUGAUGCUAAGAUAUGGUUUAAUUCUCUUGAUCCUGGUUGUGUGCGUAGUCCCCAGGAUAUGAUUUAUUACUUCUCUGCUAAAUAUUUCCCUGCUCAUAAGAAACAAGCUGCUUUAAGGGAAAUAUAUAAUUUUGUGCAAAUUGAAGAAGAGAGUCUCCCACAAGCUUGGGGGAGGCUUCUAUUACACAUGCUAAAUAUUUCCCUGCUCACAAGAAACAAGCUGCUAAAUAUUGCCUACGAGCUUUUCCAUAUAUUGUUCUUCGCUUAUUUACUUUUCCGCUGCUACUGUUACAAUCACUAUAAAACCCAAAAAUAUUACUUUUGUUACCAUUACUUUUUGCUAUCGUUACCACUACUAUCAUAUUACUUUGCUACUAAAUACCUUGCUGCAGAUAUUAAGUUUCCAGGUGUGGUUGAAUUGACAACUCAGCUGCUAAUACUUGAGAAUAUUCUUUGGCUCCCCUUGUGUCGAACAAAUAGAUUUGGGUUGAAUACUCUACCCUUGAAAAUUGUUGUGAUCCCCUAUACUUGUGGGUUAUCAUAGUCCAAGAAGAGAUAUGCUGACAUUAAUUACCAAAAUCACGCAUGGAGCACUUGUGCUUUCAACGUGUUUGCCCACUAUCACAAAUGGUCAAGAUAUCACCAUCUUGUCCGAUGGAUGCGCCGUGGCGCCUCCCACGGGGUGCCAGAAGGUUGACCAGAAUUGCAAUAUGCAGGUGUUGUAGCUCGCCGUUGAGGUAGCCGUGGCGCGCUCUGCUUGUCAUUGAGGCGGCUGUGGCGCGGUCUGCUCGCGUCCGUCCGCGCAUUUUUCUCGCCAUUGAGGCGGCCGCGGCGCGCUCCGUUCUGCUCGCCAUUGAGGCAAAUUUAAAAUGGCAACAAUUAAUAAUUGUCUUACCUAUUCAGGAUAAUUUAAAAUGCCACGUGCGGCAAUGCCCAAAACACUCAUGACCUACAGAUGCAUACAAUUAUAACAAAAUAUAGUCUAAAAGGCUGAGCUGGUGGCCUUCCGACGAUGGUCUUCUCGGACUCCAUGAUCAGCAUAGCACCCUUGCGGUCGUUCAUUCCAAGUGUCCCGACCUGCCUCCGCCUACGGAGCUGCUGGCGCUAGGAGCCUUUUGGGGUUGUUGGGCCUCUUCCAGAAGAGCUUGACAGCAUGCAAUCACGUGCAUGAAAACUUCGCGGAACCACUCCAUUUCCAUGUCUCUGGCCUGGUAGCAAAUUCCGUCCAUCAACUGCAUCCUCAAGAUACCACGUUCGUGACGUUCUACUUUGUCGGGCAUGUCAACUCCGCCAAAGCCGCGCUUGAGCCUGGCCACCACAUCGUCGGGAUCAAGGUCCACAGCCGCCGCCGGCAAUGAUGAAGUUGCAGGCUGGCCAUUUCUUAACUAAACCGAGAGGUCCUCUGCCCAUUCCUUGUGGGGCAUCAGGCUCUCGAUGAGCAGCGGUGAUGGCGGCUCUUCGGGUGGGUCGUCGACCAUGCGACCGAGAAGCUCUGGAUCUUUUGCACGCUGGAUGGCAAACUGCUCAUCACACUUCCUCUCCAAUAUGUCAAUUGUGUGCCCAAGGACUGUCACGCCUAUAUCGCUGACGAUGGGCCAUGGUGCCUGCACCGGCCGAUGAAGCUCUUGCUCCCCGACCUGCUCUGGCUCGUUCUCCUUGUCGAUGAUGUAACGCAUGUAGGGGUCGACGUCGAAACUUUGGUCGUUGCCUGGCAUGCUUGGAAUAACUAAUGGUAGAUGGGUGAGGACUAGAUCUGCGCAUAGUGUCACGAUGAUGCGUUGCCGCCUGGGUCAUAUGCAGCAAGCCAUUAGCUGUUGGAGGGAAACCGAUGAGGGGACAGGUGGGGAUUUUACUAUUCACCCAUGUGGAGUGCGCGAAGCCUUCGCUGGAGCGCGGAAGCCUUCCCUGGAGCGCGGGAAGACUAAGUGGAGCACACAACCCAACAAUUUAUGCAGUGCCACGUGUUGUGUUUCACACACGUAUUAACAUAAGGAAACAUAUGUGUAACUUACUAAUCAUCACACACGAAUACUCCCAGACGCAUCGUGUGUGAUACUCCUAGCCACCGCAAGCAACUAGUUUGCAUUUUUCAAAGUUUUUUGUACACACAGAAUCACACAUGAAUUAACUAUAAUAAUCAUAUAUUAUAUUUUCUCAUCGUAAAUAGUUCAUCCGAGUGGGUUGUUUGCCGCGUAUCACACACAUCUUGUUUACACAAAUCGUUUGUGAUCUUUUGGCUCAUUGCAAACAGUUCAUCUAUGUGAACUAUAUGUCGCAUAUCACACACAUCUUAUUAAGUUGAACCGUUUUUGUUGUGUUCCCUAAUCAAAAACAGUUUGUCUGAGUGAACCGUAUACCGUAUAUCACACACACCUUGAUCUGGCUAACCAUUUCUAUUGCAUUCCCUAAUAGCAAACCGUUCAUCCGAGCGAACUGUAUGUCGUAUAUCCCACACACCUUUAUAUAGCCGCCCGUUUCUGUUGUUCUGCCACAUCACAAACAGUUCUUAUGGAUUAACCGUUUAUCACGCAUCGCACACACAACUGUAAUCUAAACCGUGUUUGAUGUAUCUGUCAUCGCAAACGUUUUGCAUCUCUUCUGACGGGGUUUUUACAUCACCGUUUGUGAUUAAUGCAUCGCACAUAGUUUCGUCAAAGGGUCUCUGAUCGUAGUGUCGCAUUAGCAGCAUCAUGCAGUAGCGCAUGUCUGCCACAACUUUCGAAGCUGACUUAGUUGGCCCACUAGGAUGAAGCAUGUGCAUGGUGUUGUCCAUUUAGUGAACAAAAUUGUUCUAAAAAAUAGUGAAAAAAUAAUUUAAUGGUCAAAAACAAAAGUUAACAAAUUAUUCUCACAACUGUAGCCGUUGGAUUGACUUCCAAGGGACAUCCUGCUUCUUCAAUAUCUGAUCUAGUUGCUCUUCCUCCAGCCGCCAAAACCAUCACCAGCAGGGGCGCCUGCAUCUGCCUCCCGUGACCGGCUAUGCUGCCGCACAGGCCUGGCCGCCCCACCCUACACCCAACAGUGGCCAUGUCAUACCUAUACUCACACAUACCUUUUAUUAUUCUCCGGUGAUGGUAGCCACACCCCGCAGCCGAACAAGUGAACCGCGUACUCCCCUCUGUGAGGGACUCCAGUGCCCCUUCUUCAAUGACUCCAAAUCAUUCCCAUCCUAGGCCUCGCCGUCGUCCAUCUCUGUGGUGCGCUCGACGACGAGUGGUCAACAACGAGAGCCAAUGUGGAGUAUGUGGAGAGGCUGACAGCUGGGAACCACCAGCUACAUCUUUGCAGGCAAGCUAGUGCCUCCUUAUUACACGGGAAUAAACCAUUCCUCCCCUUGAUAGGUUGGACCCACCAGCUACAACCUCUGCACACAAGGAAGUUCCUUCUUAUUACACGAGAAAAAGGUUUUCUCCCCAUCACAGCUGGGACCCACCAGCUACAUCUUGGCACGGAAGGAAGUGCCUCCUUAUUACACAUAAGAAAAAUGAUUCCUCCCCCUCCUAGCUGGGACUCACCAGACUCAAAGGCUGACUUGUGGGCCUACUAAAUUGACACGUACGCAGGGCUUUGUUAACUUAGUAAACAAAUGAUUCUAGCAGCAGUGACCGUUGGAUGUUAAUCCAACAACCGCGUUGCUUCUUCAAUCUCUGGUCCUCUAGCUCCAGCCGCCCAAACCAGCGCCGGUGGGACUGCCUGCUCCUGCCUCCCAUGGCCGGCUGAGCUGCCACUACUGGCCAUGCCAUCCCACUACUCACCUACACCUCUUGUUAUUCUCCGGCGACGCCAGCCUCACACCACAGCGGAACUGGUAAACCCUUGUACUCCCCUCUGCCUGCGCAACCACUAUUAUGUCUUCCCCGGCUCCUAGUGGUUCCCUUCCUAGGCCUCGUCAUCCUCCACCGCCAUGCUGCUCUCGGUAUGGCGUCCUCAGGGCAGUUAAUGAACAACAGCCAUCGGAAGAUUAUUGUACAUGAAUAGACUGAUAACUGGGCCCCACCGUCUACAUCUUCGCAUGCAAGGAAGUGCGUCCUUAUUUUGGGCAAAAUGACCCCCUGACAGCUGGGGCCCACUAGCUAAUACGUCUCCAACGUAUCUAUAAUUUUUUAUUGUUCCAUGUUAUUAUAUUAUCAAUCUUGGAUGUUUUAUAUACAUUUACAAGUAAAUUUAUAUAAAUUUUUGGGACUAACCUAUUAACUUAGUGCCCAGUGCGAGUUGCAGUUUUUUCCUUGUUUUUUACUUUGCUGAAUAUCAGUACCAAACGAAGUCCAAAUGCCAUGAAACUUUUUUGAGAUUUUUUUCUAGAAAUACGAGAGACUGGAAGCUUCUGGAGUCCACGAGAAGAAGAAAGGGGGGCCCACUAAGAACCAGGGCACGCUAGGGGCCUCUGGCACGCCGUGGUGGGUCGUGGGGCCCACGAGCAUCAUUUUGACCUACCUCCGCCUCUAUAAAUACUCUAAAAUCCCAAAACCCUCAAGGAAUUCCAUGAAAUACUUUUUCUGCCGCCGCAAGUUCCAGAACAACAAGAUCCAAUCUAGAGGCCUUUUCGGGCACUCUACCGGAGGGGGAAACGAUCACGGAUGGGUUCUUUAUCAUCCUUUCUACCCCUCCGAUGAUGGGUUAGUAGUUUACCACGGACCUAUGGGUCCAUAGUUAGUAGCUAGUUGGAUUCUUCUCUCUUUUUUAUCUUCAAUACAAUGUGCUCCUCGGUGUUCUUGGAGAUCUAUUUGAUGUUAUGACUUUUUACGGUGUGUGUUUGUUGUGAUUUGAUGAAUUGUGAGUUUACUAUCAGAUUUAUCCUUUAAUAUUAUUUGAGUUUUCUCUGAACUCUUUGAUGCAAGAUUAUUAUAGCCUCAUAUUUCUUCUCCGAUUUAUUGGUUUGGUUUGGCCAACUAGAUUGAUUUAUCUUUCCAUGAGAAGAGGUGCUUUGUGAUGGGUUCGAUCUUGCGGUGCUCAAUCUCACACUACAAAAAAUACACUUCCGUGAUGAUACGUGUUUGUCACAGUAGGUCACGUUUUCUGUCAUGCAUGUACAUCCAUGACGAUUUUAUGACAGCAUCAAGAUAGUCAUACCUAUGCUGUCAUAGAAGUGUUCCAUGACAUUACCAAAAUUAUCAUCACGGAAGUGUCCACUUCCAUGACGAUAAAUCGCGCGUCAUAGAAGUGCUUUCAUCAAGGGUGACUGACACGUGGCAUCCACCAUCACGGAUCAUCGUUAAGUUAUCGGGUUCCAGUUUGGAUCCGAUAACCCGUUAACAGCCUGGACCAAUGGGGAUUUUCCAUGUGUAAAAUGACCAUUGGCUGGAGGAAACACGUGUUGGCUCAUCAUUGGGACAGAUGUCAUCCACUCAUUGGACAGAAUGCGCCAAUGAUACGUCGCCAUGUGGCACGGCCCAACAGAGGUCCAUUCUCGUGAAAAGGCCAGCCCAUUUGACAUGGUCAAAAGAUAGCGGGCCGGCGCACGGAAAGCCUGUUAACGGCCUGUUCGCACAUAGCCCAUUUACAGCCCGCUAACCCAGGGCCCAUUAUGGCCUAUCAGAAUUAGGCCCAGUAGCGUCAUCUGGGCCGUCCAAUAUGAUUCUAGCCCGUUGUAACUUCCGGCCCAUGUCUGGCCCAUGGCGUCUUUCGGCCCAUAUGAGGCACUUUGUAACUCUUGGCCCAUUAACGGCCCAUGGUGAAAUUGGCCCGUAAUGAACAGUACAUCGCUUUAUACCCAUUAACGGCCCAUUAUUCGAAUGGGCCCUUUCAAGCCCAUGUUAUCUUUCAGCCUUCUCAGGGCCCAUUUAUUCUUGGGCUCAUUUCUAGCAUUCGGUUACUUACGGCCUGUUACUGGCCUUUUCUGAUUGUGGGCCAAAUUUAGCCCGUGGUUACAGUCGGCCCGUUUGUGGCCCUUUAAUCCAUUAGGCCGUUUUCAUAGCGUCAUCAAAUACGGCUGAUUAAUGACGGCCCGUUAUUGUUGGCCCAUGAAUGGAUGAUUCCAACUCUAGCAUGUUUAAGGCCCAUAAUGUGGUUCGUUGUUGGCCCAUGUUUGGCCGAUCGAUCAUACAGCUCAUAGAAGGCCCAUUGAUGCUAUGACCCGUACAAGGCCCAUUGUUUCUACGGCCCGUAGCAGGCACAUGGUAACUAAGUAAAUAUGUAGCCCAUGGUUAUUGUGGCCUAGUUUUAAAAAAUAGGUUAUUGCAGGCACUAGCAAACCACGGUAAAAGAACUGCACUGACUACAAGCAAACAAGUAAACAAGACAACAAGGAAAUAAAUAAGCAAGCAACUUAUGCUAGGCUAUCACGGCUAUUACACAUAUUACAUCCACUGGGCAUCAAAGUUCGCCACCAGUGCAAAUAUAGGGAACAAAGCAGCACAUCAUAUACACUGGUUGCCAAAGUUGGCGACCAGUGCAAAUAAACGUCGUAGCAAAACAAGUCCAGAACUGAAACCACUUCAGAAAAGCUCAAGAAACAAUAUCCUAGGUACCCAUAAUGCUGGCAAGAUGCUUAGCAAGAUUAUUAACUUUCUCUUGUUUGGCGCUUAAAUCCUCCAGCACUUGCUGUUGCACAAGAAAGUAUGGAUCUGAAUUCUGCAGGGACUUCCUCAGUCCUUCAGCUUCUUGCCGCAGCACAGCUGACUGACGCCUUUCAGCUUGUAGCUAAGACUGAAGAAGCCAAAGUGAUUCGGGCGGCGAGUUCGAAGAGCUUGUGCCAGCGGUACUGGCCAGUAACUUGAACACUACAUCAACGCAGGACUGUGGGGUUUUCUCACUGUCUACAAGAUCGUUUUAUCACCUUUCUUGGGGACCAACAUGGCUAUCUCACCAUCUUGAACCUUAUAUGCAUUACUUUCUCUACCAUUGCAUAGUGGGGUGCUCUUCUCCAAUUUUCUGUUUGCAUACUACGAGAGAAAUAAGCAGACACAUCACAGGUUUAGCAUGUAGUAUACGAAACUCAUUUUGUUAAACCAGUUCAGUAGUAAGGUGGACAGGAUAACAACAUGAAACAAACAUAUAUCUAUGUACUAUGGUCACUAUAUUGUCCAUAACAUUCUAGUUUAUGUUGCCAAAUCAAGAUAGAGACACAGUUCAACUCAUAUAUUUUUAAGACACAGCAGCAUAGAUAAGUGUGAGAAACUACAUAGCAUUGGCAACACUUGUAAUGUGCAUCACAUGAGAACAUAAUUGUUUAUACAACUGAAACUGAAAUCAACAUAGAGCAAGAAGUUAGAACAACAAUCCAGUUAAAGAAAUAGGUUUAAAACAUACAUGUUGCGCCAUUGGAGUUUCAACUGGAUCCUUCAAAUUCGAAAGUCGUUGGUAUGAGUAAAUACAGUGAUGCAACAACAAAGGAGUAUGGACCAUAGCUACGGAAUCUGACCUGAGAAUAGUUCCUCUUCUACUUUAAAAAUGGAUUUUGGGUUUGUUGUGGUGGUCUUCGUGCUUUGGGCACUGCAGUUGCUUUACAAACUGCUCAUGUGGGGGUAUUCUGUGGUGGACAUGGUGCUUUGUCAACUAGAAGUGGGUUACUAUCCGCUGGGGUUGGGGUUAGAUGGGUUGUAGCUAGUUCUCUGCCCAACGGUGUAAGUGUGCAAUCUGGAAGAGUCUCGAUUAUGUGUGGUGGGGCUAGUUUGUGGGCCAGUACAACCAUGGUUCUAUCUGCAUCGACGGGUAGCACUGUCUUUUGUGAAGAACGGGUUUUUGCUCCCUUAGAUACUGCCAUCACCCACUCCAAUUCAAAUGGCUGAUAAACAAGAAAAUAAAUUGAAUGUACAGACAUUGCAUGAUAGACAGAUGUGGUAUUUCACAUAUAUGAUGCCUAACUAAACAAGAUAGCAUGACACGGUUUUAGAUAUAUGAUGGAUAACUUAACAGGAUAUAAUGGCAUAAUUCAACAUAUGAUGAGUAUCUAAACAGGAUGACAUGAAAAAACUAUAUGAUGUCUUUCUAAAAUAGGUUGGGAUGAAAUAAUUCACAUACAUGUUGUCUAAGUAUACAGGAUGGCAUGAUAUAAUUGAUAUAAUUGAUUCAUAUACUAAGCAGCUGGCACUCACAUGUCUCUAAACUAAGCAGAUGGAAUUCAAUAUUGUGCAUGUGAUGUCUAAACUAAGCAAUGCAAGACACCAUAUGCAUGAUACGAGAAAUAUAAACAUUGCAACUUAGAGCAUACACCUCAGGUGGGAUAUAGGACUGGUCAUCUGUCUCUGAAUCCUCCUCUGAGGAGCUCCCUGUAACCAUCGAGAUAUAUGCUUCAACAGGUACCAUUGCCUACUCUGAAGACCUUGUUUUCACUCCUGAUUUUUCCAUAACCGGCUCAAAUGGCUGAUACACAUGAAGAGUGGUUCAAUAUACAUAGAUUGUCGAUAAAUGGAAUACGUAAUGAAAAAAGAUGGCAUGAGAUAAUUCACAUAUAUGAUGCCUGGCUACAUGGCGGUGCAUAAUUCACAGAUAUGAUAACUGGCCGAAAAACAUGGCAUUGCAUAAUUCACAUAUCUGAUAUAGAAAGCAAACAAGAGGCAUUCACACAAAGCAUGUCUAAUCUAAGAAGAUGGCACGACAAUGCAAGACACCAUAUGCAUGAUAUGAGCAAUAUAACCCUGCCAAGUUAGAGCAUGCACCUCAAGGGGGAAUAGGACAUGCCAUCUGUCUUUGAAUCCUCCUCUGAGGAGCUAUCUGUAACCAGCAAGAAAUCUCAAUCGAUAGGUAGCACUAACUGCUUAGAAAACCUUGUUUUCACUCCAAAUUUUCCAAUGACUGACUCAAAUGGUUGAUGCAUAGGAAGAGUAGAUGAAUGUAUAAACAUUGUUGACGAAUGGAGUACAUUAUGAAAAAAAAUAUGGGACGAUACAAUUCACAUAUACAAUGACUGGAUGGCAUUGCAUGAUUCACGUAUAUGAUGCCUCGCUAAAGAAGAUGGCAUUGCAUAAUUCCCAUAUACUCCCUCCGUUCCUAAAUAUUUGUCUUUUUAGAGAUUUCAAAUGGACUACCACAUAUGGAUGUAUAUAGACAUAUUUUAGAGUGUAGAUUCACACAUUUUGCUCCGUAUGUAGUCACUUGUUGAAAUCUCUAAAAUGACAAAUAUUUAGGAACGGCGGGAGUAUGAUACAGAAACCAAACAAACGAAGUUGAUGACAUAUACGAUGUAUAAUGUAAGCAAUGUGAGGCGCCAUAUGCAUGAUAUGACCAACAUCAGCAUGCCAGGUUAGAGCAAACACCUCAGGUGGUAAAUAGGAGUGGUCGGCUCCCUCUGAAUCCCCAUCUGAUUAGUUAUCUUCCUCUGGAAUACAAUCUGGAAUGGCGGGAGGGGAGGGGGCCACUUCGCCCACCAUGGAGCGGCGUCUGCAUGACAUUAUAUUCCCACGCAACGGUCUUAUCUUUUUCUCUACAUGUUCAGUGCGGUUGUGUACAAUAAGUGACAUGCAUACUAAAAAAAUAGUUAGAUUUUGUAAGGCCUAAGGGGUGCAUGCAGAAAUCAAGACUGAUGGUAUCAAAUGAGUGGAUAGAUCCAAAACUAAUGAUAGCAGGUAGAUUAUAGCUUUAGUUCAAAAAGAUAGAAAAUGUAUCAUCUACAGUUUGUUGCCCACCCAACAUGAACCACAUAGAAGACCCCAGAUGAACCAGAUAGUAGACAGAUACUAUUCGUUGCUGCCUCGAUAUGAGACCCACGGGCAUUUUAAAACUCAUGUCUGAACAAUAAAGUAGAAGGUAAUAAUAAUAGAUGCAUAACGUAAGCAAACACGAAAGACUGCGACUUCUCUUCUGGAACUGUGUAGUCCUCAGGUUCAUCUGCUCAGUCGAUGAUGGUAAUGCAGUUGGCGUGGCUACCGGCAAUGGGGAAGUUGAUCUGAGGCGGCGAAAGAAAGUCUGCAGGGGAAUCUCUGCUGCAGUGAACACUUCUAUCGGUGGUGCACCUCAGGUGGGGUGGAUGAUGGCAUGGCAGGAGCAGGACAUAACACACAUAGUUUUCUUUGACGCCUAUCUGAAAAUGAAGUAAGUCUGUAAAGGCUCCUUAGAAUUGGAGGAUUCUAUAAACAUAGGACAGGAAAAACACAGGAAUAGGAUAGGAAUGCAUGUGCAAAACAGAGCAUUUGGAAACAUAGGAUUUCUGUCAACCUGGGUGUUUGGUUGACAUGAAUUGGAAGAACACGGGAAUGGAGAAACAUGGUCAAAUUAAAGUCAAACCACGUGAAAGUGAAAAAAUAAGAAUCUUAUUAUGCCAGUAAUGCAAUUAGUCCUGUUCUUCAUGCAUAUUAAUUUGAAAAUGACGUCCAAGUGGAUAUUAAAAUUCCUAAUUUUUUCUUUGAAAGAGACACCAAAUGAGAAAAUACUCCAGUUUUGCUUUGCUCCACUCCUUCUAACCAAAUGCACGAAUAGUAGUACCAUAGUAGUUCCAUAGCAAAGGAUCCCUCAGGGAUCGACAUGAAUGCAGAGUAACAAAGUGAUGCAACGAGUCUAAAACCUCUUUGGCAUAGCCUUGUCGACCUCAUCAUCAUUGGGUUGGACGUGGAGGAUGGUGAUGUUGGUGUGACUGUCGGAGGAGGGGAAGAAGAUCUGUGGCCUCUAGAAACAGUGCCGAGGGUACUGCUCCACUGUGAUGCAUGGUUCCGUCGUUGGGUGGGGAGGCUGAAGCAGGACAAGACAUACAAUGUUAAGCUGAAGUGGGAGUCUAAUAUCAUCUGCAAUAGAUGAUGUAAAUACAUCACCAAAAAGUGCUAUAUGUAAAACACAUCGGCCGCGCCAGGGCUGCUCCGACAGAUGUUGUAAAUAUUGUUCACUCUGAACUUAAUUGAAGAAGCUGAACUUUACAGUCGAAAUUGAUUGAACCAGUAGCAGAGCAUUGCAAUAGAUGUUUAGGGCGUUCGCACACUAGUAGUAGAGAAGUAGUGAUCUAAACCAGCAGACGCUCGAGCAGGGAACGCACUAGCAGAGAGCAAGUCAUGCGGCAGCAUCGCGAGCGAGUGCUAAAGCAGCAACUCCUGUUGCUGCUGGAGGUCGUGCCGCAACACCAGCAGCGUGAGCGAGAGCAAAAGCAGAGCAGUGGCAUGAAUGAGAGCAAGAGCGGAGCACCAGCGCGACCGACAGCAAUAGUAGAGCAGAGCAGCAGCACGAACGAAAGCAAGAGCAGUGCAGCAGCGUGACCGACAGCAUGAACAGAGUCGCAGCAUGAGCGAGAGCCAAAGGAACAGCAGCAGCGCGAGCGAGAGCCGGAGCGGCUGCAUCUAGUGCCAGUGCGGAAGUCGCCACCAAUGAAGCAACGACAUGGGGGAGAGAUGCCGUGGAUGAAUUGGCUGGCGACGGCGCGGUCGAUGGAGACCCGCCAUGGCAGCUCAGUAUCGACCACCGGGAGCCCCAUGAGACCGAAUAAAAGAUAAAAUGCAGCGUUGAGUGCAUAACCUCCUUGGUGGUGCCGAGUUGGCCUCGGCUUCACCGGAGGAAUUGGUGAGGGUGUUGCGGUUCCAGUGGGGUAGGUCAAGACACCCCUGUGGGGAUGGAGGUGGCACAAUAGAAAAGGCGAACGUCGGGGAAGCUCCUUGGAGGUGGAGGACGGGGCGGCUGAUCCGACGGGACAACGAGAUCGACGACAGAUCCUCAUCCGGUGCGGUAGAUGAGGGACGGCGAGCUGUCGCAGUGGACGACGUCGUCGGCGAAGAGUCUCCGGUUGGGUGGCGGUCGGGAGGCUGAUGGGGGAGCGUGGUGUUCCGCGGGUUUUGGCAGCCUCGGUGUACGAAUGGGGGCGAAGGGGGAGGUAGGGGGAGCCAUGGCUUAGGGACGUGCUUGUCCGAAAUGUAGGGUAAGUUACCAGCAUACACCACCAGUUUUGACACCACGACGUCGAGCCGGCAUUUCUGGCUGAGGGGUACAAGGGGGAUUUCGCGUGUCUGAGCUGCGGGGCCGAUUUCAGAUGAGGAGGGAGUUUUCGCGCGCAUCAAAAUUUUGGGAUAACAAGGCGCGACGCGGGUUGAAGAGGCGGGAGUUUCAAAGCAGAUGAGACAAAAGAUACUCGAGCUUGAAAAUUUCGGGAUAACAAGGCCCCGAUUCCUUGUUCGGCAGAACAUACUUAACGUGUACAAAAAAACAAUUCAUACAAGAACAAGAGAGUCAUGUCCCCUUUUACUAUAUUCCUAUAAAUGCCUUUGAAAAAACUACAAGAAAAAUGUAAAAAAAUCGGGAGAACAAGAUUACCUUGUACAGUACCAAAUCGAUUCGCACUUCCCUCAACAACAACAACAACAAAAAUCAAUUCCCACCAAAAGAAAGAGUCAUGUCCCUUUUUAUAUGAUUACAAAUGCCAGGAUCUCGAAUUUCAAUUUUUGAAUCCACAUUAUGUUGAAUUCAAAUAUAUCGGUAGGUGACCUUGCGGUUUAUAAUGGAUGUAGUCCUACAUAUUGAUCUUCCAUCAUAUAUGAACAUUUUACUCCACCCUACGAACAUAUAUAUUUUCGUCUAUCAUAUGGACUAAAUUUGAAUCAAUUUUCCUUAUUUGAAUACAAUUGUUGUCAAUUUAUACAAUCAUUUAAAUAUUAUCUUCAUAACAAAAAACAUGCAUAUAGUAGUAAUCAUAUUUCACUAUGAACUACAUGUACCAUAUGAUCUCCAAUUCAAAUAUUUGUAUCCAUUUUAUGUUGAAUUCAAAUCAGAGUACAUUGGUCUAGGUAGCGAGAUGUUCGGGAUAACCUAAACCCUGUUUUCAUAUGUAUAAUUUUUGACUGAAUUGGGAUAGGUUUUGGUAUAAGAAUCUUGCAAAACCAGAGAUUCUCUCAACAAGCCUCGUGGUUCCGAGAGGGAACAUGUUACCUUUGUGUGUGAAACGAUAUACACUGCCUCCCCCCUAAUUUUCUUUAUAGAGGCAACAUAGAACUAUAUGAGUGCCCUAAAUUUUGGAAUUAUUCCGGGCUCGUUUAGCCUUUUUUAUACAUUAAUUGAGUUUCUGGACAUUUAAUAUGCAUAAUCCAAAUUUGAACUACAAGCACAUGCUCUUGUGCACCAAAAUUGGUUGAAAAAUCACAUGUGUGUCCUUGGGUGAAUUCUAGGUCCCAUGCAAGAAAUGGGAAUGAAAUUCAAACAUCUGGGCGUCGUGAGGCCGAGAAUAUCAAGAAACCUGGUUUUUUAAUUCAUGUAAAUCCAAAACUCGCCUGGAAAUCAUGAAACUUGGCAUGGUGUCAUGUAAUGGUACUAUAUGUUGUUGUAAAAAAUUGGGCCGAUUUGGAACAAGUUUUGGUAUAAGCUUCUUGCAAACCGAAGCUUCUCCCAAGAAGGCUCGUGGUUCUGAGAGGGAAUGUGUCACCUUUGAGUGCGAAACGAUAUACGCUGCCCCCCUUGAGUUUCUUUACAUAGGAAACAUAGAACUACAUGAGUGCCUUGUUAAAUUUUGGAAUUAUUCCGGGUUCGUUUGGCCUUUUUUAUACAUUAAUUGAGUUUCUAGUCAUUUAAUGUGCAUAAUUCAAAUUUGAACUACAAGCACAUGCUCCCGUCCACCAAAGUUGGUUGAAAAAUCACAUGUGUGUCCUCGGGUGAAUUUCUAGGUCCCAUGCAAGAAAUGGGAAUGAAAUUCAAACAUCUGGGCAUCGUGGCUCGGCUGAGAACAUUGAGAAACUUGGUUUCAAAAAUCUUGUAAAUCCAAAACAUGCCUGAAAAUCAUGAAACUUGGCAUGGUGCCAUGUCAUGGUACUACCAUGCUAUGGUAAAAAAAAUGGCCGAAUAGGAAGAAGUUUUGGUAUAAGCUUCUUGUAAACCGGAGCUUCUCUCAAGAAUCUAGGUCCCAUGCAAGAAAUGGGAAUGAAAUUCAAACAUCUGGGCAUCAUCGCUCGGCUGAGAACAUUGAGAAACUUGGUUUUAUAAAUCUUGUAAAUCCAAAAACAUGCCUGAAAAUCAUGAAACUUGGCAUGGUGCCAUGUCAUGGUACUACCAUGCUGUGGUAAAAAAUGGCCGAAUAGGAAGAAGUUUUGGUAUAAGCUUCUUGCAAACCGGAGCUUCUCUCAAGAAGGCUCGUGGUUCUAAGAGGGAACGUGUCACCUUUGUGUGCAUAAUUCACAUUUAGAAUACAAGCACAUGCCCCAGUUGAAACACCCAUGAUGGGGCUAUAUCUCCCACGUGUCGAGGCACGACUUAGAGGCAUAACCGCAUGGUGGUUUAGUCGCAAGUGGGGUAAUCAAUUCCAUGUACUGAAUAAGAAAGGGAUCAAGAGUUGGCUAACAAUCGCCACUUCACACAAUACAUAAAUAAUUCAUACAUCGUCCAAAUACACUCAAAGACUGACUACGGUCAAAUCCAAAAGAAAAGGAAGAUAAACCCCAAAUGUUAGAUCCCCGAUCGUCCCAACUGGGCUCCACUACUGAUCAUCGGGAAAAGAAACAUAGCAAUGACCAAGAUCUUCAUCGAGCUGCCACUUGAGCUCAGUUGUGUCACCUGCACUGGUAUCAUCAGCACCUGCAACUGUUUGGAAGUAUCCGUGAGCCACAAGGACUAAGCAAUCUCACACCCGCGAGAUCAAGACUAUUUAAGCUUAUAGGUGGGAUGAGGUAAUGAGGUGGAGCUGCAGCAAGCGCUAAGCAAAUAUGGUGGCUAACAUACGCAAAUAAGAGCGAGAAGAGAAGCAACAUAAUGGUCAAGAAGCUAGAAGUGAUCCUAAAACUACUUACGUUCAUACAUAACACAAGACCGUGUUCACUUCCCCGACUCCGCCGAAAAGAGACCAUCACGGCUACACACGCGGUUGAUGCAUUUUAAUUAAGUCAAGUGUCAAGUUCUCUACAACCGGAUAUUAACAAAUUCCCAUCUGCCACAUAACCGCGGGCACAGCUCUUGAAAGUUUAUACCCUGCACGGGUGUCCCAACUUAGCCCAUCACAAGCUCUCACAAUCAAGGAAGGAUAUUCCUUCUCCCGGAACAACCCGAUCAGACUCGGAAUCCUGGUUAAAUCCCGAUAGGAGCUGCACAUAUCUCGUUCUCAGGGCACACCGGAUGAGACAUCCUACGAGUAAAACCAACCCUCAAUUUGCCCCGAGGUGGCCCCAGAGUCUACUAAGUUCGGACCAACACUCAGAGGAGCACUCGCCCGGGGGGGAGGGUUAAAAUAAAGAUGACCCUCGGGCUCGCGAAAACCCAAGGGAAAGUUAUAGGUUGUUAGGCAAAUGUAAAACCAAGGUUGGGCCUUGCUGGAGGAGUUCUAUUCAAGGCGAACUGUCAAGGGGGUCCCAUAACCCCAACCGCGUAAGGAACGCAAAAUCAAGGAACAUAACACCGGUAUGACGGAAACUAGGGCGACAAGAGUGGAACAAAACACCAGGCAAAAGGCCGAGCCUUCCACCCUUUACCAAGUAUAUAGAUGCAUUAAUUAAAUUAGAGAUAUUGUGAUAUCCCAACAUAACCAUGUUCCAACAGGGAACAAACUUUAGCUUCACCUGCAACUAACAACGCUAUAAGAGGGGCUGAGCAAAGCGGUAACUUAGCCAAACAAUGGUUUGCUAGGAAAGGUCGGUUAGAGGCUUGACAUGGCAUAUGGGAGGCAUGAUAAAAAAAAGUGGCAGGUAGCGCGACAUAGCGAUAGAGCGAACAACUAGCAAGCAAAGAUAGAAGUAAUUUCGAGGGUAUGGUCAUCUUGCCUGAGAUCCCGCAAGGAAGAAGAACAGGUCCAUGAAGAAGACAAACGGUCGUAGACGAACGGAUCCUCACAAACGUGACAUUACCAGAACUAACAAGCAGAAGCAACACCGGAAAAGAGAAAACAACAUGGUAAACAACCAAGCAUAAACAUGGCAUGAUGCACAAUCAAGUAUGAUGCAUGUCCGGUUUAAGGAGGCAUGGCAAAGGGCAACAAACAAUACUACAAAUUAAGUGGAGCUCAAUAUGCAACGGAGUUGCAUAUUGAAGAAAACACCACAUUUAUUAUUUAGUUCACUCCCGUUUAGGUACUCAACAAUAUUAAAUACUGUUUAACAUGGGAAGAGGUGAGGCAUGAGUAAACUACCUAUUUAGGCAAGUUUAAAUGAGGCCGAAAAUACAAACAACAAUUCCAAAAAAACCUUAUGUGCAUAUUUUAGAUUUGGUACUGUUCGGCCUUAAACCAUAUUUUAGAGUUAUAAAACAUGCAAAGUAAUGCCACCAUGUUAAACUAUGCAUUUUCUACCCCAUUUACAUAUAAAGUUUAUUAAAUUCGAAGCUACUGUUAUUAAGUUAUGAAAUAAAUCAUUUUUACAUGGCAUAUGAGCAAAAUUAAACAAACAUCAUUUUACACAUUUUUAACAUAGAUGAAAGUGGCAUAUUAUGAAACUAGACGAAAAUAUAAGCAUUUUUCAUAUAUAAAGUAUUUUAAUCCGAUGCACGGUCAUUGAGUUAUUAGCAUUUUGAAACGAUGGCAUUUACUAAAAUUAUGCAUGCCAUGAAAAGAGCUAAAUUCGUCUCACACUAAAAAUAAAAGGCCGAGCAAAAAAAUAUGUGGAGCUGGGAGUUGAACACAGGACCUCCUGGAUGAUGCACGCAUGAGUGACCAAUGGGCUACGAUGGAAGUUUGAUAAACAAGCCUUUACACGCAAGAUGAACCAUACCCUGGUGUAGGUAUGACGAAACUGAAAACUGAAACAGCGAUAGCUUGCUCUGUAGGCGCGGCUUCUCGAUCGAUGCGAGGUCAACGUGAACAUAGAAGCCAGCGAGGCAUUCGCACGCAGGGUCGAAGGGGACGCGGCCAUGGCGGCUCUCGAGCGGCUUCGGUCUGAGGCAACAUAGAGAGAGAUGGCGAGAUGAGAGAAGAACAUAGAGGAAUGGGAGUGACGCGUGCGGCAACUGCGUGCCUCACCUUGUCCGUGACGGCGCUGCUGCUUGCAGAUGGUCGGUGGAGGCAAGCGUGCACGAGCACGGGAAGGCUGGAGACGUGGAUCCGGCAGCGGCGAGCUUGCCGGCGUCGGGGACAAGGGCAGGCAGUGGUGCUCGGGCGACGAGACGCGGGGCAUGGCGCUCGUCUUCGAUACAGAGGAAGCAGGGGCGCUGCGGCACGGCUGGACAGCGGCGAGGCAGCAGCGGAGGGCGGCGUCUGGCGCGGUGCCACGCGCGAAGGAGGGCGUCGGUCGCUGCGUUCGUCAGCAGCAAGGGAGGGAGGCGCGAAGGCGGACGGAUCCGGGCAGCGCUAGACACAGGACGAUGAAGGACGCUGACAAGCUUGCUCCGGGACGAGGCGGCCAUGGCGCUCCUGCAGGUGGCGGCGAUCAGCGAGGCAGCAAAAGCCGGGGGAGGUGAGUGAAAGGAGGGACGCGUCGGCGACCUGCGGUGCUCCAGCAUCGCGCUCGCCGUCACGGCGGAGGAGGAGCCGCGAUGUGGUGCGCGAGGUGAAUACGAGCAGGGGCGAUGGAGCCUUGCAGUAGGGGAAGCAGAAGAAGGCUCGGUGGCGGCAUCAACGGGAAGGAGGUCAGGCGGGGUCACGGACUUGACGGAUCUGGCCGCGGGACACCGGUUCCCGACGGCGGCGAGGUGAACUGGAGCUCGGGGAGGCAUCCAAGGCGUGCUUCUGCUCAUCGCCGGCGGGGACGGCUGGCUCCAUGGAAGUGCUCGAGAAGAAGCAAAGGAGGUCGUGGACUCUGGCUGCUGGUUGAGAUCGGGCUUGCUUGAUCUGGAAGCCGUGGGGAGGAGCUGUGGAUUGGUGGGGAUCGAUGGAUGGAUGGAUCGAUGGGGCUGGUGGUGGCUGAAAACGAUGAAGGGACGAGAAGGUUUGUUGGGUAGGUGGAUCGGGGAAGAUCCCGAGGACGAUGGUGAGAGGGUGGCGGCGGUGAUGGGAUGGAUGGGACAAGGGAGAGGAUUUUUAGGGUUUGCCAAAAUGGACUAGGGGUGCACUAUAAAUACAUCACGGAUUAGGUUCGGAGCUACCUCGACCCUGCGAUCGUAAUUGGAUGGCUAAGAAAAUAUAUAGGUUAGGAAGUCCAAAUAAGAAAACAGAGAUGUUUUUGGAAUGUUUGGGGAUGAUCCGGACCCAACGUUAACGAUAUCCCGGGUCGGGUUCGGGAUAACUCUCGAAUGCGCACGAGGGGUCUGAGCACUGUGCAAAGAGGGUUAGGCGGACGAGGUCAAGUGUGUGGUUUGGUUGAGAAGAGAGAGAAGUAGAGCAGCCUGGCGGCGGUUUUCGGAGACCAAAAAUGUCCGACGUGUGACCGGCUAUAGUGCCGCUAUAUUUAACGGUUGGGCAACCAAACAGACUCCGAAUGCGACGAAACUUGACAGGCGGUCUAUCUACCCUAAAAUAAAACCGCACGCCAACUUUCAUCCCAUUCCAAGAACAUUUUUAUAACACUUAUAAAAUAAUAUUUAGGAGGUUUCUCAGGCGCGUGCAAGUAUGUCUGGGCUCAGAACGGACAACGGACGGAACUGGGUGAGCCCGGACGGAUGCAAGUUUUGAAAACAUGAUAAUGCAAUGCACAUGAUGACAUGACAAGAUGCGACAUGCAAGAAAAUGACAUGGCAACGACAGCGAAUUCUGGAAGACACCUGGUGCGUCGGUCUCGGGGCGUCACAACUCUCCUUCACUACAAGAGGAUCUCAUCUCGAGAACUAGGAUGGCACCGGAGAGAAGCGGAAAAGGAAGAAGAGAGGUAAACUAAGUUGCUUCUUGUAGAAACGAGUGAAACCAAAGAACCUUGAGAGGUUAAACAUUUUUUUAGAAAAGAAUACAACGGAGAUGAACAAAGUUGAAAACACUUCGUUAGAAAAGAGGAACAAGGAACAUUGCGAAAACCUUGUGGGUUGAAAGACAUGAAUGAAGAGCUACAGUGACAAGGAAGGACAUGUAACCUCUCUGGUUGAAACGGAAUAAGCAAGGAAUGAGAAUGAAAGAAUGCAGGCAGCACUCCGGCUGUAAAUGGACGGAAUUGAACAUGAACUUGAUAAGAUGAGAGGAUACUUGAUGCAAUCAACAACACACUGUCUCCGGAACAAAAGAAUAGAAGCUAGAUCGUUAGGGAAGAAAGAAAGUAGAAGAAAAUGAUAACUUCUACCACCAAUGAAUUUGAAGGCAUCCUUAGAAAGAGGGAUUGAAAGGAGUUGUUGAAAAACCAACAACAAAACAAAUAAGCUUGUAGUGGGCUUAUGGAAAACUUCUCAAAAUUGAGGCGAAAUUCUGCCACUAUGGAAAUAAUAGAUUGGAUUGAUAUCAACUAGGAGACAAGAAACUUAUUUCACCGGGAGGAUAAAUAAAGAACUUGGGUCAUUUGUGAGCACCAUAAUUAGCAACAAUCCUUAGGGAAAGCUUUAGGUGAAAUAUAACCCAAGAUAACUCCAACAAAGAGAUUAAUGGAUUUAAAAUACCUCAUUUUUGAAAACUUGUGAAUCAUGAAACACGAAGGAAAAUUAUCAAGAAUGACAUAACACCACCUCAAAAGAUAAGGGAGAAGGAAUUGAACUUUGAAAUGCAAGAUGAAGAAUACUAGAGCUCCUCUGAAAACAAUCUCGAUGAACACUUCGACAAGGAAUUAAAUCCUUGAUGAACCAUCAUGUAGAGCCUCCAUGAAGAACUCCGGUAAUAAAAGGAUGAUAAAAAGAAAGAGAAGUCGAAAACCCAAGGUGAAGCCUUGCAAUGAUUUAGAUGGAUCUUCGUGAUGAUGAGAGCUUGGAACUCUGGGAAAAGUAUGAAGCACUUGAGCCGAGAAUUUACGCAUCGUGAACAAACUCCGGAAGCAUGAAUCAAUCACUUGGAUGAAGCAAGAACAAGAAUUAUGUUAUGUGUAUCCUUCACCAAUUUAAAUUGAUGACAAGCAACGGAUUUGGCAUACUACUUACUCUCGUUGAAAGGAUUAAGAUAGAUAUAGCGCAAACUUGAGAAAGGUCUUCAACGAACCACCGGUAGCAUUUGGAAAGCACGAAUGCAUUGCUACCAUAACGGCGGAAGAAGAAUGUUGGACGAACCACCAUUAGGAUUAAAAGAACGAGCGAAGAAAAUGAACGCAUCACUGGGAGGAAUUGGAAAAUUAACGAAGAUACUUGAGAUAAUCUAGAUACAAGUGAAACGAAGAGAUCAUGAACUGACUAGAGAAUACUUGAAUGAUGCACCGGUAAGAUUUGAAGAAUGUGAGCUGAAAGCUGGAAUGAAUACUGAGAAGACCCAUGAAUUGCUCAGGAAGGGUGAAAAGAAUUCUUACAAUCGAAAACAAUUAUGAGAGGAUGGCAUCAAGCGUGAACUUUGCAUCUUUGGAAGAACGGAUAAGAAUUUAAGAGGAACUCCUCUUUAGUCUUCAAAAUCUGACAAUGACGACAAGAAACACCACCAUGAAUUUGUUGAGGCACUCCGGAAUAAAAUUAGAAAGGUUCAACCAACGAUGAAAAGAAUUUAAAAGAUCGUGGAGAAAGACAUAUGACUGAUAGUAAUUCAUCCUUACGUCAUACUUGAAAGAAUUCGAUAAUAACUCCGAGAAAAAUUAGAAGAGUCAGGUAAGAUCCUGGGAAAAUACCUGUGGGUUAGGGCCCACUCAAAAGGAAACACCGUUGAACGAUCUUAAAAGAGAGAUUGCACCGGUUGAAUUAAAUGGCUUGAAUGAGAUAACAACCUCAAAAUAACUUGAACGGGUUAAGAAUGAAAACACGAUUCUCCUGAGAUAUCUUCAGCACACCGGAACAAAUGAAUAGUGAUAGGUGAAUGAUUAAUUUGUGCAACAACAUGAGAAAACAUUUGAAACGAGGAAAGGAUAUGAUCGACAAGGCUUGAAUUUAGCCCAUUGAAGAAGAAAAAAGAACGAAGAAUUAUAAACUUGUAGAGCAUCUUCAUGAGAACCACCGGGUAAGAACAUUGAUUGAAAAGAAUGAAGAGACUUCACAUGAAUAAAAUGAAUACUUGAUUAAGACAUUUGAUUCCUUGAAGGAAAAGGGUGGGAGGGUGGGAAAACAAAUGCAACUUGGGAUGGAUGAAACAAACACCAUUGAGGAAAACUGAGAUUGGAUCUUGCGAAUGGGAAAAACGAUAGGAUCAUCUUGAAGAGAAUCUCACCGGUUGGAAAGAAUUGACAGGACAAUCUCGAUGAUCAAGAAGGAUUAGUAUUCACAUAGAAAUGUGAGAACACCGCUUGGAAAAAGGUAUGGAAACAACACUUGACAUUGAAGCAACUCUAAUACCACAACUAAAAACAAAAAAAAAGGAUUUGGCUUACAGAAUAAACCGGAAAGAAACAUAUGAUAGACCCUAUAUCGUAUCACAUGUCUGUUUGAAAGAUAUCCUACGAGAUACUUGAAUUCCCUCUUAUUAACUCCCGAAACUUUAUGGUUAUGCAAUCAGGUGUUGGGGAUACGGGGGAAGCAUAAUAUCUCACCCAAACUAACAAUCCCUACAUCCAGCUGUAUCCAUCCUUCAACACAUAACCAAGAAACCUUCGAAAGUUGUGUACCUCAACCUUCGAAAAGCAUCCGUUAUACAAGUUAUGGUGAUACUCCCGAACUCCCGCCCCAGUACUGGGUGGCGUCGAGGUUAUCUCACCAACAACUGCAUAAAAUAGAUUUUCGAAGUCGGCGAACUUAGGUAUACCAGAACUGCCACGAUAAAAUUGUGACGACAACACCUCGGAGCUCAACUCCCCGGGACACUGCCACAACCCCUAAAUGUGAGGAGGCACCAAGAACAAUGUUCUCGUCACAAGACUAUUGGAACAAUUCCAAGAUACCCACGUGAUCCUAAAAAAUUUGUGAAAUUUGAGGAGAGGGAAGUCAAGACUUCUACGCCAGGAGGCCUCACCAGAGUGACGAAGGGACUGAGGAGUAGAAAGAAUCCUACUCUCCGAUAUAUAUAAUCCUAAGACUCAAAACAUUUUGUUCUAGACUCAACAACGUCAGCGAUUCGAUCAAGCAGGGGGCUCCUAAGUCGGGGAUGGCUCUGAUUACCAACUUGUAACACCCAUGAUGCGGCUAUAUCUCCCACGUGUCGAGGCACGACUUAGAGGCAUAACCGCAUGGUGGUUUAGUCGCAAGUGGGGUAAUCUUCACACAAUUCCAUAAUAAGAAAGGGAUAAAGAGUUGGAUUACAAUCGCCACUUCACACAAUACAUAAAUAAUUCAUACAUCAUCCAAAUACACUCAAAGACCGACUACGGUCAAAUCCAAAAGAAAAGGAAGAUAAACCCCAAAUGCUAGAUCCCCGAUCAUCCCAACUGGCCCCACUACUAAUCAUCAGGAAACGAAACAUAGCAACGACCAAGAUCUUCAUCGAGCUCCCACUUGAGCUCGGUUGCGUCACCUGCACUGGUAUCGUGGGCACCUGCAACUGUUUGGAAGUAUCCGUGAGCC